rnacentral:lncRNA from 1 species
UGGUGGAGGGGAACUAGAUGGUUGUGGUGGUGUAGCUUGGUAUGGAGGUGGACUAGGUUGACUAUAGGUGGGAGGUGCAGUGGGUGCACUUGGUGGUGGUGGAGGCAAAUUGUUGGUUGGAGGACUAGAUUGUGGUGGCAUGGGAGAUUUGUAUGGAGGCAUGGUAGGAGGGAUAGAGGGUGAGAGCGGUGGCUGGUUAUUUGGCGGAGGUGUGGUUGGGGUACUUGAAGGUGGUGGAGGGGAACUAGAUGGUUGUGGUGGUGUAGCUUGGUAUGGAGGUGGACUAGGUUGAGUGUAGGUUGGAGGUGCAGUGGGUGCACUUGGUGAUGGUGGAGGCAAAUUGUUGGUUGGAGGACUAGAUAGUGGUGGCACGGGAGAUUUGUACGGAGGCAUGGUAGGAGGGAUAGAGGGCGAGAGUGGUGGCUGGUUAUUUGGUGGAGGUGUGGUUGGGGUACUUGAAGGUGGUGGCAGGGAACUAGAUGGUUGUGGUGGUGUAGCUUGAUGUGGAGGUGGACUAGAAUGCAAUGGAGGUGGUUGACUAUAGGUUGGAGGUGCAAUGGGUGGACUCGACGGUGGUGGUGGCAAAUUGUUGGUUGGAGGACUAGAUUGUGGUGGCAUGGUAGGAGGGCUAGAGGGCGACGGGGUUGGUUGGUGAUUUGGUGGAUAUGUUGGAGGUGUGGUUGGGGUACUUGAAGGUGGUGGAGGGGAACUAGAUUGUUGUGGUGGUGUGGCUUGGUGUGGAGGUGGACUAGGUAUCAAUGAAGGUGGUUGACUAUAAGUUGGUGGUGCAAUCGGUGGACUUGAUGGUGGUGGAGGCGAAUUGUUAGUUGGAGGCUUGGCUGGAGGACUAGAUUGUUGUGGUGGAGGAGAUUUGUGUGGAGGCAUGGUUGGAGGGCUGGAGGGCGACGAGGGUGGUUGGUUAUUUGGCGGAUAUAUCGGGGCUGUGGUUGGGGUACUUGAAGGCGGUGGAGGGAAACUGUUGCUUGGAGGCGUCACAGGAGGGCUGGACUUUGGUGGUGGAGGAUAUUGUUGUGGAGGUGUUUCUUGGGGACUUGAAGAUUGUGGAGGUGUACCUGAGGAGGAGGGAGGCCCUGAUGAGUCAUUAGACGGUGAUGGUGACUCUUGGUCAUGACCACAGUCAUCUUUCUUUGGAUGCCCGUGACCAUCACCAUGUGGGUCUGGACCUUUCCCUGGCUUUUGGCAAUGUGGGUUCUUCACUGGCCCAACCCCAUUACUGCCGUCACCUUUGUCAGUGCCUUGCUCUCCAUCACCUCCCUUAUCUCUCUGUGAGUUGUGAUCACUGCCAUCCUUGGAAUCAGAACCAUGCCCCUUGUCCCCAGACGACUUGUCGUCAUCGGCUUGGACUAUGUGAACGGUGAGGAGGAGGGUGAGAAGGAACAGAGCUACUAUCCAUCUCAUGGCGUGAGAUCGCUGGCCGCCUAGCUGCCAGCGAUUAGCAAGACAGGUUACUGCCUACUAGCUCACUGAUGGCUUGUGUUGCAUGGGCAGGGCGAUGUCUCUAUUUAUAGUGGUGUAGCACAUUGGUUACUCCAUGGUAGCUAGCUAGAUGCAUAGAGUUUACUCGACCUGUUCCGAUCGAUCGAGAUGCAGAAGCUUCUCUCUUCUCAGCGGGCUUGGCUUUUGUUAAUUCAGUGUCAGCUGCCUAUCUGAAUUAACUAUACAUAUCAUCACUUGUUCACGUCUAUGACCAUAGAAACAGAAUCUUAUAAGCUGACAGUAGCCGUCCAUUGCUAGAUAUGAUUUCCUGCUAUAUUAACGUUGACAUUUUGAAGCGUACGCGGAUCUCCGCGCGCAUAGGCACAGAGCAUCUUACCAGCUCGUGGUUCGUGGCAUGCAGUCAGAUGAUAUUUGCUGACACACGGCUCCAUCAGGAAACUAAAUUAGCUGGGAUAUCUGUAAGCUGUGGACACAGAGACGGUUUGACCUUUUUAAGCUUUCAUAGGAAUUAAUUUAAUUUUAUGUAGAUUUAUAAAAUAUCGCCAAGCACACGAACCCAGAAUGGCAGGCUCUGUGAAGUCGCCAGCAUGCAUCUCUACGUGCCAUCUCAUAUCACGUGAUUACGUCAGGCACUGGAUCUUGUAGCCAUUUUGGAGGUACAGGUAGCAUCUAUCAAACUCAACACCUGAUCCAAUGAUCUGCCAACUGAAAACUAUAUUUAGGUUGAUAGCACAAAUGUAUACUCUCUUCAUUCUAAAAUUACAUUUACCAUAAGCUAAUAACUAGUUUUUUUUGUUUUAAACUGAGUCUCAACAAUGAUUGCGAAACCACUCACUAUAAGAAAAGAUACAUUGUAGAAAUUCUUAAAAGUUCAAUACUAUUAAUUCGCUGCGACAAAACUGUCCAGUUUAUUUAACUCAAAUGCACUAGCCGACCUCUCAGAAUAGCAGUAAAUAAAGGAAGAGACCGAUUUGAUUACACAUAGUGGAAGCAAUUUCAUUGCUACACCAUGAUGUUCAGGAGUCGAAUACAAAGAUACCGAAAUAAUUCACAACAAACAACAGAUGUGUUUCCAGGGACUCGGACAACAAACUACAAUAAGCAGCUACGACAACACCAAAAGAACACAAGUCGGAAGGCAUCACUUUGCCAUGAGCAAGACAGAUUUAACCGAGUCAACCAGCGAGUACCCACCCACCGAGACGUGUACUCGAUCAGUGACUUCUCCCCUCGGAUCUUCAUCUGCAACAGUUAGCAAGACUUAUCAGAGUGCGGGCUCUCGUUAGGUUCCUGGAAGCGAUUCCUUGAAAUGAUUUUCAGCCAGGAUAAUUGACUAACUUGUAUAAUCUUACAUCAGCCGGAUUGGUUCCUAGGCUCAUUCCAGGUUAAAACCGAAUGAGCUCUAAACAGAAAUAUAUUUAGCCUCACCCUUAAGAGUACGCAGGAGGCUAUUUGGCUAGCGAGUGUUGCUUGCAGAAUAGCGUACUAACUCUUGGUCUUCAACUUUCAUGCUUUUAUCACUAGUAGUUUGUACUUAACCUGUUCGAUUAAGAUUGCACUCACUAAAAUUAUCCGUGGACAGACUUGCAUUUCACAUCUUACAGACAUAUAGAUAUUUCCACACUACUUUUUUCACAGAUAUGCUUGUUAGCAUGUGUUUCAUUGAGAAGAUAGGAGUUGAAAAUACAACAAGGAGCAAGCAGACUAGGGGCAUGCCACACGACGUCCACAAGUACAAAAAUGUUAAUUAUGUACUAUGAAGCCGGUUCUACUGCAACGAAAGCUAGAACACUUCGAUGAGUAGACUAUCAGCAGAAUCACGAACGUCGCUAGGCGGGACCGUCACUAGACUAAGGCGUUAGCGUCAUCUGUUCAUUCCUGAGACCGCACAAUCAACCGUGACGCCUAUGUUUAUCCCUCAGACCGCACAACCAGAGACGGUGAAUGCAGGAACCGUGAUGCCUAUGUCACUAGUACAUGGCACAUUAUACACGCGGUUGGUAAGGCGUUUUCCAGCACCGCCUGCGCUGGGGGCCAGUAGAAAUCGUCCAUUUCCACAGGCGGUUGCUUGAGAGCCGCCAGUAGAAACCGUUUACACAGACGGCUCUCUUAGGGAACCGCCUGUGUAAAUGCACAUUUACACAGGCAGUUCCCUAAGAGAACCGCUCGUGAAAACCUAUUAAAAAUGUAUUAUUUAUUUAUUUAUUUAUUUAUUAUUUUAUUAUUAUUAUUUAAAUAUAUUGAUAUUGGUUGGUCUUCAAACAUAGCAACAUGCAAUUUAAAUACUUCAUCUCAUACAUACAUUUGUAUACAUCAAAGUUUGGUGCUCAAAGACAUAAAGUUAAUUACAAGAGUAUAUCCAUCAUCACACAUCAUAUAUAUAUAUACUUCAAAGUUUGUUUCUGUCCUCUAAUAACCCUCUUUAGUAAGUUUGAGUAAACUAGUCUCUGUUAGCACUCGGAACUGUGACCUGGAUAAUUGGCUUUCAUCAUCAUGAUAUUUGCCUUCACGUGGAAUGACAUGCUUCAUGAUGAACGAGUAGAUGUCCUCAACUAUGUUGUCUAAAGCACGUUCGUCCAUGCGUUCCGCCGUCCCUUGCUUAUAUACCUGCAAAGAAAGUUUAUAAACAUUAUAUAUUUUAUGACUUCCAACUUUAAUAAACUAUUACUUAUAUUACCUUGUCAGGGUUCCUUGCAUAUCGUUCGUUCUCUCUCAUGUUCUCGCACACGUAGUAGCCACAGAGGACACAUAAGGGUGGCUGCUUCAUGCACUGUAUAACAGGAGAGUGGUUAUUUAAUUAGAGUUGCAACUGUGGUCCUAUGUGUAUGAUUUGUAUUCAUAACAGUAAAUUUUUAUAUGUAUCGGCCAGUUAUGUAUAACCUCCAAUGGUUUUCCUGGUCUGUUGGACUCACACUUUCUAUAGUUUAUCUUAUAGAACCUGUAUGCCCUAUGAUCUCAAAUAGAAUCACCAUGUUAUUGUCAAACUCUCACUAUGCUUAAGUAUGCAUGCAUAGCUUGACUUACAGCUCUAGAAGUUUGAUGAAUGGAGCAUAGCUUUCUUUCGGGUAAUCUGUGGAGUCUAGUACCAACACCCUUUCCUCCUUGGGAUAAAUGAUGAAGCAUAUCCAGUGGUUCUUGCUCGAAUUAAAUCCAUGAUGCAUUUAUGCAUUGGAAUAGUUUAGAUAGAUAUUUGUAAACUCACACUUACCCAAAGUGGUACGGGGCCACCACCGCUUUCCUAUCUUGAAACUUUAUUAGUGAAUGUCCAAUAUAGAAGGCGUAUUUGGCUUCAAAAUCAAGUUUCAACUUUUGGAGUUUCUCAUCCCGUUCCGCACCUUCCAAACCCUAUACCUCUGUGCUGGCAUUCCCGAUCCGAAAUGUGUGCUGAUUUUUGGCUAUAUCUAUUGGGAAGAGAUAGCCAUUACUUUCUUCGACACAAUAAUUAAAGUUCGAACCAAAAUACAAAUCUUGUUGAUCAUAUAACAUUAUGCAAGACAGAAGCAUGUCAGAUAUUGAAAAUUGAUGCAACUACAAUGUGUGUAACUAUGUAACACUUACAAUGCAAAUGUCGUUACGAUCUGUACAUCUAGCAUCUUGUGGUUCAUCAGUGCCCACAUGUCAUCAAAUGUAAGCAUGCAUUUGUCAGUAUUCUGGCUAAGAAAUGCUAUUUGUGGUAUGCGCAUGCUUAUGGUGUCGAUGCCAGCAGAAGAGGCUCUCAUGUACCAGUCAUGAAACCUUUUUAUACCACUUGGUUUCUUCAUAAGUUUGGCCCGACUGAGUAGAGGCUUUCCCCACACAUACUUUUUGGGGAUAUGCUUGUAGUCUUCUGCAGUUGGCACCUUGAAUUUGACAAGAGUUAUGACCUUAGGCGCCGGCACCUCUGACUUUGCUAGCUCAGAAAUCUCAUGCUCUUGUACUGUUCGUUUAGAAGCAAUGCUUGACAAAAAUCUCACUUGACCAGCUGAUUUUUUCUUUGGCUCGUAUGAUGAAAUCAACUUGGGUAUCGGAAAUACUUUCUUCUUAAUUGGCACCUUUGGUGGCUCACUUCUUGGUUCUGGAUCUUUGAGUUAUGGGGAAGGGGUGGAAUUGAAUGGUGGUGGAGAUUGUGUUGACUGUGGGGUAGAAAGAUCAUGGAGAGGAGAUGGUUGAUGGACAGGGAAAACAUGGAGAGGUGAUUCUGGUGGGUCAGGAAGAGACUGGGGAGGUGAAGGCGGUGGGUUAAGAAGAGGAUCGACAUGAGCUGACGACUCCUGGGUGAGUGGCAUGUCUUGAGAGGGUGGUGGUGGCUCCCUUAGUUGCACGUCCCUCGGAGGCGAAACGAUGAAAUUGUUUAUCGUCUGUCUUAGUUUCACAAUGUCCUUAGGACUAGGGAUGUCUAGAAUUUCGUCCUCAUAUCCUUGGACCACGGUUGAUACCUCUACUCUGCAGUAGUCUUUACAAAUGUCAGCACCAUGGUAUUUAGGUCCUCCUGGGAUCGCUUUGUCUGUGGCUACUUCCCUUGUACGAUGAUUGUUAAUCCCAUAUCUUAUGACAAGGGAGCAAGGUGUAGAAGUAACAAUGUCGUCAACUGGAUAGUGAUCCUUGUUUGCCGUAGAUGCGACACUGCUUGGAAUGAUUGUUUCACUCGGUGCCACCAACGGUUGCGACACCACUAGGACUAACUGCAUUUGGGGAGCUUGAGUGCUCAUCUGUUGAUUGGACACGGCACUUGCUAGUUUCUGCAUCAACUUAGGAGGAGGGUUUUCUAGCAACUUCCCCAUCAUCUCUUGGAAGUCUUUCUUAGCCUCUGCCUGAAAAUAAUUUGCCAUUUGUUCCUUGUACUGAUCACGUUUCUUAUACUCAUUUUUCCACUGAGGGCCGAAUCCAUCCUUCCAUCCUUCUUUGGAUGAGAUGCCUCGAACACGGCCAGGAUGCUCGGGGUUACCGAGGCCAACACUCAGGAUGUCCCUCUCCCUUCGUGGCGUGAACUUGCCUUCCUGCUGCAAGCCUGCCACUGCAAAGAUGCUCUUCAUUGCUUCACCAAGCAUUGGGUCUUCAAAGGACACACUCGUCUCGGUUUCCUUUGGUUUCCGAGCAUCGAUCCAAUUCGCGGACCUUUCACCGACUUGCUCGGACAGCAUUGGCAACCCUACUGCCUUCUUCGCAGCCUCUUCUUGCCUCUAUUUAGGAACUUGGUGCUGGUAACCACCUGUGCCUAGAUGGUGGUGGUACUUGUUCCUCUUUGUGAGUUGGGAGUUGGCUUCGCUCCAAGCUAAGAAGUUAGGGUCAUUCCUCUGCUCUAGAAAAACAACCCACUGCCCUUUAGUAAUCUUGUAUUUAGUUGUCGGAUCCAUCUCUAUCUUUGCAUACUUGACAUUCAUCUCCGACCUCCAAUUUUGGAAACUAACCGCACACUGCUUCAUUGUAUAUGCCUUUACUAAAUCUUCUGGCACAUUCAUAGGAAACUGGAACCCCGUCUUAAUCUUAUCCCAAAUUUUGAUCUUGUGAUUAUUCGACACACCGGACCAGUUCUUAAUUGUGAUAUCAAGAAAGUCCCUCACAUAGAAACCAAUUGUGUUUCUGUAUUUGGGUAGGGCCUCCUCUGGAGCUAGGGCUGUCCGGUAGGGCUCACAUCUGUGAUGGCAUAUGUGUCAUCUAGAAAUUGGUUCAACCCUCUCUCGCCUCGUUUCAAACCUAGCCGCUUCCUUUUCCUCUCUCGUCGUUGCGGUCGUCGGUUUCGGUGCGUCUUCGUGUGCCACUUCCUCCUGAGACAUCAUCACUCUAAACUGAGACAUUGCCUCCUAAGUAUAGACAUGUGAAUCAUGGGCGUGUUUCUAUAUAGAAACUAUAAAUAGAAAUCAUUUAAUUACAUGAAAUCGUGAAUGUCUCUAAUUUACCUCAUCGGCUUUUGGAUUGUAAUCGGGGUCACGUGCCAAUUCACAACGAGUCUUCCUCACUUCUAGAGGCUCCAUGUCGUCGCUAGCUUCUUGUUCGUAGGACGAUCCUGAUGCUUCGCCCGUUUCUACUUGUUUCGUGACCUCACGAUCUUUUUCCAUAGGGUGGGAUGACCCUUCUACUUGCUCUGUGGUUGGGACUGCAGUGCUUCGUCCUUGUGCGGAGAACUCAUCGCAGAAAUCUAUGUAAUUUAUAAAUAAAAUUAAAUUUAUGUAUAAAAUUAAAUUUAUGUAUCUUGGGGUAUAUACACUAAUAUAUCGUACUAUACACCAAUACAUACACAAAGAGAUUAAAUUUACAUACACUAAUACACUAACAUAUUAUAAAGCAUAAAAUUAAAUUUAUGUAUUGUGGGGUAUAUACACUAAUAUAUCAUACACUAACAUAUACACUACUACAUAUAUAAAGAGAUUAAAUUUACAUACACUAAUACACUAACCUAUAUUAUAAAGCAUACAAUUAAAUUUAUGUAUCCUGCAUAUAUCAUACACUAACAUAUACACUAAUACAUACACAAAGAGAUUAAAUUUACAUACACUAAUACACUAACAUAUAUUAUAAAACAUAAAAUUAAAUUGAUGUAUCCUGGGGUAUAUACACUAAUAUAUCAUACACAAAUAUAUUAAAUGAUUUACAAAGAGAUUAUAACAAAAAGAUAAAAUUAAAUUUACAUAUACACUAAUACAUAUACAAAGAGAAAUAAUAACAAGUAUUUAUAAAAGGAAUAACAAUUAUUUAUAAAAUAAUAACUAUGAAUAAAAUCACAUGUAAAAGACAUAAUAAUAUCUCCUGAUUUUAUUUUUAUUUUUUCUGAUUUUUAUAAUUUUUUGCCUUUUUUAUGGUUUUAUUCAUUUUUUAUAAAAAAUAAAUUGUUAAAGUAAAAAAAACUUCCCAGCCCGUGACUCCCUCUCCAUUCUCUCCCUCUCUCUGGCAGGUGGGCCUCACAUGUCGGGGUUGUCCCCUACCUCUAGCCACUCCGCGCCCGCCCCUUCCACCACCACCGCACACCGCACCCACCCCUUCCCCUUCCACCACCGCCACCGCGGCCGCCCUUCCCCUUCCACCACCACCGCGGCCACCACCCUUCCCCGUCCGGUGCAGCGCCACCACCGCGCCCCCACCACAGCCGCCGCCGCCACGUCGAGGAUACGCAGGGAGAGAGAGAGAGAGAGAGAGCGAGGAGGAGAGGCUCACCGCGGGGCGGCUACGGCGUCGAGGGCGGAGGGGUCCGGCUACGGUGUCAAGGGCGGAGGGGUCCGGCUACGGCAGCAACGGCGUCGAUGGCGGCUACGGCGGUGGUGGAAAAUUCGGCAGCCUGUCGGCUUAGUUUGAAUGAACAGGGCGCCAGACUUAGAAAAAUUUUGGGCGGAGGAGACCGAGGGUUAUAUACAUUGGCACUAGUACAGGCGGUUGUCUAAGAUAACCGCCUGUAGAAAUAGUUUCUACAGGCAGUUGACUAAGACAACCGCCAGUACUAAUGCAUUAGUACUGGCAGUUCUCUAAGACAGCCGCCAGUACUAAUGCAUUAGUACUGGCGGUUCACUCUGAGGGCCGCCUGUAUAAAUGUAUUUUCAGUUUAUUUAAAGUUUUCCUUAUAUAUAUUUUUAGAAAUUAUUUAAAUGAUUUAAAAAAUCAUAUCUUCAAAAAUAUUUGUCCUAAAUUAGUGAAAAAAAUUUUGUUAUGUUCCUCUUGACUAGAUACACAUGUUAAAAAUAUGAAAUUUCAUGUUUGAGGUACUUUUGUAUGCAGCUUUAUUUAAAAUGAUUUAAAUUGAAUAUGUAUCUCAUAUCUUGCUUAAUACAUAAAUAAUUCUAGGAAUACCAGAAAAAAGUAAAUCCAAUUUUGUUAGCUUUAUUGUAGUGUGUAAAUGCUAUGAAAAAUAUAUUCCUUUGUGCAAUUUACCGUUGACAAUAUAAAGGUGAGGAACUUAUAUGUUUGAGCAUAGUUCGGUGGAAUGGCUCUUCUACGUUUGUGAAGCAUGUAUCUUAUGCCUAUCUCUAAAUGUCUUAAAAAUUUUUUGGCAAGCUUCUACACUGAAAUGAUGAUCCCACACAAGAUCUUAGGAUUUUCUAGUCAUGCAAGCUAUUAUUACAUUUUUCUUUGUGCUAAAUGAGAUAAAAAAUGGUGGACUACACCUAGAUCCCACUAGGUUUUUCCACCAACCACAAGGAAGUUUUAUUUCCUAUGGUAUACAAGACCCUGUGGAGAAGUUUGGCACCAUUUGGAGUCAUUUUAGGGGUAGACUUAGUUCAAGCGCUAAUUAGUGGGUGACGUCGCGCGGAAAUUCAACUAAACCAGAUAAAGUAACAAACUACAUCAGAAAAAUCCCAAACUUGGUGGAUUGAACAUCAAUAGCACUAGUAAGCCUUGGUAAAAGUUUGAGACUAAUACUAUACCAAAGUGUUACGACAUGAUAAUUGUUAGAUGUAGAAAUAAGCAUAGGGUCUUACAUGUAGAAAUAGAGAAGGGCACAUAGCAUAAGGUACAUAUUUUAUCAUAAAUAGAUUUCAUGGCAAAUGACAAAUAAAAUCUAGACAGCUAUUGUUCUUCCUUGUCCAUCCUGACGCACCCAGGACAACGAGCUCUGUGGAAUGCUUCGCUCAACAUUGCUUAUCUUUACUGGAUGGUCAUCUACAAAGAGAGACAUGUCACUGAACUGGUUAAAUUCAUCCAAGUUAGAUACACCAUCAACUCCGAUGGCUUGUUGCUUUCUAGGGAAAACUACGUGCUUUGGAUGGUCUGUAAUUUUCUUCUUAUCAUUAGAAGAGAGGACCUGCUCAGCAUAGAAGACCUGUGCAGCACGGUUAGCCAUUAUCCAUGGAUCAUCUUUGUAGCCUACCUUGCUUAGAUCUAGAACUCUAACCCCAUAGUUGUCUACUGUGACAUGUUUGUCUUCAACCCAUUGACACCGAAAUUCAGGGAUCUAAAAUGUACCAUAGUCUAGUUCCCAUAUGUCCUCAACGAAGCCAAAGUUGUUUCCUCACCAGUUUCAGAGUCUAAGGCGUCACAUCGAACACCACUGUUUUGUGCCAUGCUCUUUUGGUCCUUGGACUUGGUACAGAACGUGAAGCCACUAAUGUCAUAGGUUUGCCAAGUCAUGACCUGGCGUGAUGGCCCAGAAGCGUAUGUGCCUCAUGUACACUAUCUUCUUAGAUGCAGUUAGGGACACGUAAGCGGUGUCAUCUAUACAUACCACACAACCAAGCUUUCCCUUGAACUGUCCUGAUAAUGUAAAGAGAGCUGGGUAGUCAUUGAUCGUAACAAAGAUAAUUGCUCUCAGUGUGAAUGAUUCUUUGCAGUACUCGUCCAAUAUUUAAAUACCUGUAUCCCCUAGUAUCUUCAUGUCUUGCAUUAAGGGCUCCAAGAAAACAUUCAUAUCAACUCCAGGCUGUGUAGGUCUAGAGAUAAGGAUGGUUAGUAAAAGGUACUUUCGCUUCUGCAUCAACCAUGGAGGGAGGUUGUAGAUGGUGAGGAUCACUGGCCAUGUGCUGUGCUUGCUGCUCCUAUCAGCAAAUGGAUUCAUUCUGUCAGUACUCAGUGCGAACCUAACAUUCCUUCGUUCAUUAGCAAAGUCCUUGUCGUUUUCAUUGAAAUCUUUCCACUGCUGGCCAUCGGCUGGGUGCCGAAGCUUCCCAUCAUCUUUGUGCUCAUCAGAAGCAUGCCAGCUCAUAAGUUGGGCAUCCUCUGGGUUAGCAAACAAACACCUCAAUCGAUCGACCAUAGGAAGGUACCACAUCACCAAAGCAGGAAUCUUUUUCUGCGCAUAAUAGUCUACUUCUUCCUUUUCUUUGCCGGUGGGUUUUGAACAACUCUUCUGGGUCUUUUGUUGGGCCUUCUUUCAUUUUUUUCCCUUAGGCACAGAGGCAACACACUCUUCCUCUAUGUAGUCUUUAUUUGUCUUGUACUGACUUACACCACACUUGGGACAGCUGCCCAAGUCCCUAUAAUCAUUGCCUCGAUAUAGGAUACAGUGAUUUCUACAAGCGUGGAUCUUCUCAACACCAUUGUGAGUGGGCUGAUUAGCUUCUUUGCAUAAUAUGUGUUAGCAGGCACUUUGUUAUCCUUAGGAAGCAUGUCUGCGAUAAUGCUCAAGAACGCAUCAAAGCCAGCAUCAGAAAGACCAUAUCUAGCUUUGCACACCAACAACUUUAGCACAGACCGCAGUGUCGUGAACUCUUUGGUGCAACCCUUGGACUCAUCAUACAAAGGCUCUUCUGCUGCCUUCAUUAGGGCCUCCAUACCUUUCAUGAAGAACACUGAUGGAUCUUCCGCAUGAUGACGCAACAUUGCCUCUAGAAAUUCUGCAUCUUCCACAGCCAUGUUAGUUUCGGUGCCAUCUUUAUUUCCACCAGCAAAACCAUGAUGAGGAUCAUUUGGCACAACAUGUUCAGUGGCUAGACCAUCAGUAUCAGGUUGUUGUGUCUCGUGUACGAACUCAAACCCGUCAACAAUUCCAGUUCUAUAAGGUGUAGAGCUACCCUCUCCAUGCUUUGUCCAAAUCAAGUAAUCUUUCAUAAAUCCUCGACGGACCAGAUGAGUAAGGAUUUGUUGAAUGUCAUCAGAUACAACAAGAUUUCUACAAUCCAUGCAUGGACAAUGUAUGUGCGUCUUUCUUGUUCCUGAAGCAUGGUUUUGAGCAGCAUCAAUAAAUCUCUGGACCUCAGUUAUGUAUGAUGGAUCUAGUCUUGAUAAAUUAUAUAUCCAAAAUGACCUCUCCAUCACUACCUGUAAAACACCAUUCAUAUGAUCUAAGGGUUUACAAAGGAUUUAUCUAGGGUUUAUUAGCUAGGGUUUAUGGUUAAGCUUGAGAUUAAAGGAAAAAAACUAGGUUACAUAAUUAAAAAAUAAUCUAAGUACAUAGCAUAAUUAUAGAAACCCACAAUCAUACAUUUCUCUCUCUAAAAUUGAGAAGCAAUCAUGAAAAUGGAGAGAGGAGAGGCAUUAUCCAACCAUAUUAAGCAACCCCAUGUAACCAUAUCAACAAAUAAAGACAAGAAGCUAGCUAUUCUUUUCUCUCACUCAUGGAACAUACAUACAUGUGGAUACAUAAAUUGAGAAAUUUAUAAAGAGAGAGAGACAUAAAUUAGAAAACCUAAUUAUAGCAUAACUAUAUAAAUACAGCAUUCAUUAUAAAUAGAUAGAUGAUGUGGAAGGUGAUAAUAAAAAACCUAACUACCAUAUAACUAAAAAAAUAAAAAAUCAACAAUUAUCUCUACAUAAAUAUACAAGAACACAGCAUUGGUUUAAUCUUGUAAAAACUAGCUAAAUUGAGAAGCAAACAUGUUGAGAGACAUUAUCCAACCAUAUUAAACAACCCCAUCUAACCAUAUCAACAAAUUAAGAUAAAAAGCUAGCUAUUCUUCUCUCUCACUCAUGGUGAAACCCUAGAUCCAAAAAGUGGCUCAAAUUGAGCUAAAAUGAGCAAAUUGAGGCAAUAGGGACAUAAACUAACCUUUUUUAGCAACCUCCUUCCCAGAAAUGAAAAUCAAAACCUCCCCCUUAUAUUUUGAGAAAUCUAGAACUCCAAAAUUGCCCCCAAUGGAAGGUGGGUGCGAGAUACUGUUCUGGUCGGGGAGGAAGAAGGGGUAUUUAUACAGAGAUACCACAGGCGGUUGCUUAAGCCAACCGCCUGUGAUAAACGGUUUCCACAGGCGGCUGGGAUCUCUGACACCGCCCCAUUAUACCACAGGCGCGUCGUAACUGAAACCGCCUGUGGUAUAAAAAGGGGGCGCCAGCUAUGAGCCUGAUUCUACUGGUGUGUAGAUUCAAGAUGGCAGACUCAAGGGAUGAAUAGUCUUUUCUAAACUAAUUGUGCCCGUUAGCCAAUAUAACUACAGAAGUAAUAUAUAAAUGGGCUAGCCAAGACGUGUAGACCUCUCUAUCUAUGUUGCAAGAACCAUAUAAAAAGAUCUUAAACAAGUUAUCAUUAAGGUAUCAAGCUAGUGGUUACAUAAACAAUUCUAGUUAGGAACAUCACACAAACCUAUGCAAUUAAUAAACUAGGCACAAGUGAGCUCCUACACAUACUAGUGAGCACGAGCGUAAAGGCAGCAACAAUAGCACUACUCAACUAGCUAAUCUCUGCCACUACAUGAAAAGUUUGCUCUAGGCACAUUUUUAUAGUAACGCACACUAAAAGUGUCUCUAUAUAGUCAUGUAAAGAUAUUUUUUGACAUGAGUAACACAAUUUUAGACACGUUUUUAGUGUUAUAAGGUAUCUAAAACCACUUUAUAUAUGAUGAUAUUAUAAAUGUCUCAAAGCCACAUGGUGCUAGACAUGCUUUUAAUCAUCAAUAGCUUCUAGACAUGUUACAACACAUAUCAUAAAGCGCUUCACAGCUAAUUAAAGAUGUUUUUGACACAAUACUAAACAUUUUCUCAAAAUAAAACAAAGAUAGACAUACUUUAAACCAUCACUAUAAUUUAUACACGUUACAAAAAAAGCAUAGUAUCAAUAAUCAUAUGCAGUCACGUAAAGAUGCUUCUUGAUACGAUAUUGAAAACAUCUCAAAGUGAAAUAAAAUUAGAUGUGUCUUCGUCAUCUCAGUAACACAUAGAGACAUUGUAAAAAAAAUAUUUAACAUAUGUUACAUAUCUAAGUUCUAUUCGAACAUAUUUUUUCUAUAAAUCUAUAGUUACUAAUAAGCAAUCAAUAUAGCCACAACACACUGAGAGACAUUAAUGUAAAGAAUCAACAAAAUAUUUUCACUGUUGCUAAACAAAUACGGGCCAAAGCUAAACAUUUGUAUUAUACUUAUAUUGCCACAAAAGUCUAUUUAUUACAAUUUAAAAUAAUUUUCUUAACAUUCCAUCUCAAGUGUCUUUAGUACAUAUAAUAUAAUGAAAAAGAACGCAAAAAGAUACUCUAGGAUAUAUCUUGAUGGCUAGAGGGGGUGAACAUCCUAUAAAAAUUUUGUCUAGAUUCACUAAAACUAGAGCAAAGUAGUUAUUAGUAUAACAACAAAGCCUAAUAGCCACUACUUUGCCCAGCUCUAUCUCACCUAAAGAAAGCCCCUAAACAAUUAUAGCAGCAAAUGAGUUUAUACCACUAGAGAACUCAACCACACAAGGGCAAGGGCUAGCAACUAAACAAGCUACACUAAAGAGCUAAUUAGCUAAACUAGAGAAACAACUAAAACUAGCUACUUUACUACUAAGGCUACAACUACACUAGUGAGCUACAACUACAAACAACGUAACUACUAGCAAUAUAUGAAUGUAAAGCACAAGUCAGUGGGCAAACCGAGCCAGGCAAGAGAGAUGACAUAAUCAUUUUUUCUCUCGAGGUUCAGUUGCUUGCUAGCAUCUUACCUUGUUGUGGCAAGUCUAUAGGUGAGUGAUUCGCACUCUAACAAGCCUCUCAAGGUUGAACCACAACUUGGGUGUUGCAAGAAUCAAUCACAAAGAGUACUCUAACUAGCCAUGAGCAUUCUACUAGAGUAGCCCUUUGCAAUCUCAGCAGGGUGGGCUCAAAACCUCUCAAUGUUUGAGAAGACCCCACACAAUCACCACGGUGGUCGAUGAUCCCAGUAAUCUCCAAGCUGGAUAGGUGACGACAAUCACCAAGAGCAACAAGAACACCGAAGCCGCCACACUCAACUAGUGCCACAAGAUGCAAUCAAUGAUGCAAACGCACUAGAGCACUCCCAGUCUCACUCAAAUGUGAUCUCUAAGGAGCAAAGUGAGUGGAGUGUGUGUCUCAAGCUCUAGAGGGAGUAGACAACUAUUAGGUUUGCUAAGAGAGUGGCCAAGGCUAGCAACAAAGGCUAUUUAUAAGCCCACCAAAGAAUCCAACUGUUACCCUCUUGUGUUAGCAUUUUCAUGUGCACCGAAAACCUCCAGUGAGCACCGGAGUUUUCCAGUGCCUAGAAAACUAGUCGUUUCUGAAAGGAUCAAGAUGCCCAAGAGGGGGGUGAAUUGGGUUAAUUCUAAAAAUUAAAACGGUAAUUAAACCCUACUAGCCCAUUUCACCCCCUCGGUGCCUAAAGUGUGUCUCCUAGCAAUUCUACUAGGAUAAAGUUUUGCACCCUAGGUUCCAAUCCUAUACUAGCAUGGCAACUCUAGGAAUGUAAAGACAAUUAAAAUACUUGAAAGUAAAUGCUCAAAGUAAAGAGGAUAGGAACGUCGUGAUGUUUUUCUGAGGUAUUGAAGAGUCAUCACUCUCCACUAGUCCUCGUUAGAUCACCCAUGCAAGAGUGUAGCUCCCGCUUGAUCCACGCAAGGAUCAAGUGCUCUCUAUGGGCUGAUUAUUCGUUGCUUCGACAUGGUGAAUCACCCAAAACCGCUCACAAGAUGAGUUGGGUCAUCCACAAGCUCUGCAGAUGAUCACCAAGCUCCCAUUCACCACCAAGUCAUAUAGAUGAUGGCGAUCACCAAGAGUAACAAGCACAAACUCUCACUUGACCACAACAAGUCUAAUGAGAAAGGUGGAUGCACACUUGCUACUCCCUAUGCACUAAUGAGGUCCUUAAUCUUGGACUAUGAAAUCACAAACACCUCACUAGGCCUUGCACUCCCUUGCUCUCAAAUUGUUUAGCUUCAACUGAACAAAUGGGAAAGAGAGCUAUAAUGGACGAGUAGGAGUUGUAUUUAUAGGGCCUCCCCACAAAUCUAACUGUUAACCUCUAUUUCAGCAACUGGCGGGGUCAUCGGACAUGUCGACGUCAAGCGUAUGACGCAUUCAAAAUUUGUACUGAAGAAGUUGACCGUCAGGGUUGUGUUGGACUCUGGCCAGCGUCUGAUGCUUACCCAUCAAACGUGUCUGAUGGCCCUUGGAGCAAACUCAGACCCCUGCAUAGUGUCCGGUGCUAGGCCCAGCAUCUUAUGGUAAACCCUAGUGGCGUCCGACGCGUUGCAGGAGAGAGUUCUUGCUACAGUGUGAGUACCGGUGCGUCCAACGCCAUGGCGCAUGUGCAUCUAACGCACCCUUUUUCCUUUGCUAUGCACGUGUUGCACUAGUCGAACGCUAACGUCAACGUCCGACGCUCACUUCUUCAGCGUCCAACAUAGUAGAAAGUCCUUGUUUCACUUCCAAUUAAAUUUCUUUGUGAACUAAGUGGACCUCAACCAAUCUUAGGGCCAAAUUGAAGCUACCUACUGCUAAGUUUGACAAGUGUGCACCACACCUAACCAUUAGGCUCAAUUAGGUCAAGCUACUCAUUUGCACUCCCACCCCCCCCCCUUAAUAGUACGGCCAAAGGAAAAACAAAGUCCUAACGACUAACCCGAACGUCAUUCAACACCUUCGACGCUCGAAACUAACCGUCCUUAACCUUAUCGUCCAUGCUUUGAAAACCAAAACAAUUUCCAUCGACAAGGGGCAUGAAGAACAUAUUGCCCAAGAUUUGUCAUUACCAUGAUCUAACACUCUAAUAUUUUUGCAAAACACACGUUAGUCAUAGUAAUCAAUGGUUAUCAUCAAUCAUCAAAACCCAUUCUAGGGCAUAGAUGCUUUUAGUUUCACUUGUCAAAGCUCUGAUGCAACUUCUGGUUAGGGCACCAGACAAUCCAUUCAGUGUAAUGCCUCAAAGUGUAGUUUUGCAACCUCUCUAGAAGAACCAUCCAGUGUGCACUUCGGUGUAGCACUAGACAGCUACAAUGAGGUCUUUUGGAGUUCCUAUGUGUCUAGGUGUGUAUUGUGCGAGUACUCCGGUGCCACCUCUCUGGUGCACACUGGAAUGCAAUGUGCACCCCUGAAAUUUUAGCUCACCUCUAUGCACUAUAGGAUCUCCCUAGUAGCUAGGCACUCCAAUGCCACACGAAGCUCUUUAGUGAGUGUCAAAACACUACACCAAGUCUUGUUUCUAGCCAUCUUUGCAAGCUUGCUGAUUCUAAAAUGAUUUUGCCAAACAUUGAAGCAUCGAGUUGGCAUUUUUCUAAGUGUUUUCUAAAACAUUUUUCACUUUCAGCUCACCACAUCAUGGGGUCUAAUGCAUAUGCAUGUUAAUCAACACCUAGUGACAUUAGAUAACUACAUUGCUUUAGAGUUUCGCUCUUAACAGUACAACUAUAUCCUAAACCCGACCACUUACUCAAAUGUGUCUCAACCAGCAAAAGAAAACCCUAAUUUAUAUACCUUUGCCUUUGGGUUUGCUCCUCAUUUCUUCUCUUACCUUUUUCUCCAAUGUGAGCACUUGAUCAACUUGUGGCCAUCUCCUCCUCCUUGGAUGCCAUCUAGCUCAAUCCUUGGCUUGGACAUUACCUAGCUUAAUCAAUACUUAAGGCAAAAGGUUAGUCCACUAGUUGUCACUCAAUUACCGAGCUCUCAAAUAGCAGCUUUGCCAUGCUCUUAAAUACUCUCAUGGGCCCUGGUGCAGCCGUUGUACGAUUUGCCCCCGAGGUGGCCAUGCCCAUUGGUCGGGCGAACCACGAUAACAGCAACAGAGAGCUAGAGGCAUGGUGAUGGCAUAGCAUGAAUUUGGCACAGCAAGCUCUGAGGGAAGUGGCUCGUUAGGCUCUAAAGGCACAAGGAAGGAGGGUGGGUGGGAGAGGAAUAGACAGAUGUGAUAACGUUGCGCGUUCUUUUUUUUACAAAGUGAGGUAACGGGAGACCCAACAUGGUGCAAUUUUUUUCCUUAUUUAACUUUGAUGAAGGACUGAUAUUUUUUAUGUUGGGGAUUUUGAUGAUGGAAAUAUACUAGGGACUAGCAGUUUUUUUAAGAUGGGAGACCAAAUAGUAGAACAAGGUAUCAGAAGGCAAUAGGCAAGAAAAGGAAGAAGGGUUGUAUUGUCAAUUUACCUUUUUUAUCUAUUAGCGGAAGCUGUUCUACCAAAUAUUUUACCAAAACGGUUUCAGCUCAACCAGUCGAUGGUAAAGGUGAUCUUGGAGCCAAAGCAAAAAAAAGAGUGUUAAAUGGUGCCUAAGUAUCCUAAUCCUAUCUAUUACAUGAAAGUAAUGGCCACGUACAGUCCAGAGACUGCUAAGGCUUUGUUUGGCACAGCUCAGCUUCGUGAAGUUGUUUUUAAGAAAAUAGUUUCAUGAGCAACUUUUUAAGUAAAAAGCUGAGAUGUUUUAUAAAAAAAUUAUUUGGCAAAAUAGCUUCACCAAUAAUUCAUGCAUGGAUGAAAGAAAGAAACGGGAGAGAAAGCUAAAAUAGGCUACUUUUUUUUGCUUUAUCGCAACUUAUAUCUUUGUGAAAGGAGAAGAAAAAUAGCUUCAUCCAUAAAAUUGUUUUCAAAAAGAGCGUAUAGCAAAAAACAAAGUUCACAACAGCUCAUGAAAUUGUGUCAAACAGACCCUAACGAUCUUAUAUACACGUGGAAGUAACACAAAAUAUGCAAUGAAUUACAUCGAAAAAUGUCUACCAGCAUUCACGGCCGUCAGCCGAGGUGGCAAAAGGCGGUGUCACGUGGUCCAUCAAGGACGACGACGUCCACCGUGGCGGUGGCCUAUCCCCGGCGUUCACGGUCGAGACGUCAUCUGGUCGGUCCCCACAGCUGCAAGACCAGGUGCUGCUGCACCCUGCUUGCCGUGUGCCGUGGGCUGCUUCUCGAGGCACAGCGGAUGGAACUCUGACGUGCAACUGUGCAAGACAGAGCAUGCAUGGCCGAUGGUGUGCUGGCCGGUGUUCGCGGACCAGUACACCAACUGCAAGUCCGCAAGUACGCCUGCGAGGAGUGGGGCAAUAGAUAGUGACCAGCAGACGGUGUUCCAUGGCUCAUCCAACUCGGAAGCCUGAAGGCUACUUCGACUUGUUGAGAUCUGUGUGUGAAGCUGGAAUGUGUCUGAAAUAGUUUGCUUGCAUAUCGAGUUGAAUUCAACAAAAUAUGUUUUUGAUAAGGGGUUAAAAACAGUCCUUUACACAACCUUGUGCUGAUGAACUAGGCCUUGUGAUAGAUUGCACGAGCAAACAAAUAGACCAAAGGGGGGGAAAAGAGGAAAAUGUCUUGCCCCCUUUAGAGUCAAGAGUUGUACGCAACAUGAACACGCAGAGGGAUAUACCCAGCAAAGAUACAGCACACUGCUGAUGACCAAAUACAGAGUCGAUCAAACCUUGCCCAUAUUUCUAAUUUUAGGCAUCCUGGAUAGAUCAACAAGUAUUUGGUAUACUUUGGAAUGGGGUUCAUGGUGGCAAAAUCCAUGUUGCAUGUUGGCAAGUUUUAGUGCAGCCACAUUGCUCGGAACAACAGUCGACUUGAAGCUAUCUUGAAGCCCCAAAUCAACAAGUUGUCAACUUCAGCUCCAAAUCAGUUCCUUAUCUCGCUCCCAUUGCAUUCAGUGUCGACCUAGAAGAGAGCAUCAGUCAUGACUGACACCACCACAACCAUCCUCACAAAAAAAUGAUAUAAAACCACAAACAUCCUGAAAAUGCACAGGUUAGAUCAAAUACAUGUUGGUUCAAACGCACAACCUCUGGUCUACUUACUACCUAGAAUUGAGAUUUUGCUGAUAUGACUAUGCUUCAAGUUGGAGUGUCAAAGUACCCCAGUAUGCCACUAUGCAGGUUAUAGAGUGGCAUCAGCAAAUCAUUCGACUUCUGCUAGAAAGAUACAGCUUUACUAUACAGAAAAAAGUACAGAACUGAAACAUAGAACACUGCCCGUAGGAAACACAUACGACUAUUCCUGCUGUUUAGUUGAUUAAUUCAGCUAAUGCAAUUACCAAGUCCUAGUUACAGGUGUGAUACCAAUCAACUAUCAUGUAUAGGUAUAGGUAUAGCUCAAUCUGAUUGCCUUCAAUUUCAGCCACAUUAAGAGACAACUUAACCAAUUUAGUGUAUUAUCACAUCAUAGGAACAGGUUGUCUGCUGAAGCAAUUAAAUAAAACAGACACUAGUUUCCCUCUCUCGUCAUAUAGAGAAUACAUGGAACUAUAACACUAACAGCUGCAUGCAUCAGUAACAUUACUGGAAGACCAAACAUAAAAAAGUGUUCCUGAUCACAUGAACCUAUAUGUUGCAUUGCAUAAGGUUAUAUCGGCAUUGCUACAGUUUUGUCAGAAGAAAAAUAAAUAAAUAAAACUGAUCACGAACCAGCUUUCUUUGCAAAGCAACAUCAGCAUAAACAAUAUUAAGGACAAGUUCUAUUAAAAGGAGCAAAAGCACUGUGAUCAAACAGUAUCAGUGUACACCAGUGUACUUCAUAAUGAACUGCUUCCAUAUGGCUCUAGAAUAUUGGUUCUCCAAGCUAAAAACAUGUGCCUUAAGGUAGUUAGGCCACAUAACAUGAUCCAGAUAUUAUGCACUAUUCCUUAAUCAUUGAACAAGUUAUGUGCAUAACCAAUCGACUGACUAAUCUUGUUCCACGUGAAAUACUACUAUCACCCUUCUGUAGGUAUUGCAAAACUUAAUCAAUCAAGAGAAAACAAAACAAAAGGUCCACAUAAAAGCAUUCAGGGUUAUAAAAGAUGCUGAGGUGAAACUUGAACCACACUGACUACCGAGUAAUACUUUCUGAUUGGCUAAUGAAUAAUAAUCUAUGCACAACUACUAAUAUGGGUUUACUUACCUCUCAUUUUUUCCAACCAUUCAAUAUGUUGUAUACUAGUCGUCCGAAGCCCUAAAAUUGUGAUGCAGUAAUGAUAGAGUGCAGCCAAGUUAGCAGAGUGGCAAAUGUACCAGAACAUCAGGAGGCAGUGCACAGUUGAAACAAGGUACAUAUGCAACAACUUUCAGGUUGAUUAUAAACACAAAGAAAAGGAGAAUAACAGGUGCCCCAUGCUCAAUCUUUAUACCAAUUUAAGACGAUAGUGAGUAUUAUAUUAUGAAAAUUUAAUUUAAUUAAGAUAAUAUUUUUUCGUGACGUUACUUCACCACAUCCAGAAAUGCACCAAGAGGAGACAAUAACUGAUUCACGUCUUUAACUUAAAAAAAUGAAGUCAAUGAACAAAACAGGAUCGAAGAAAGAGGUGUGCAAAUAAAAUAUUGUACUAGUGUAGGGCUUAAAACUGGGGUUUCUAAGGGCAUGUACAACACCCAUAUGUGAACCAACCCUUAUAGGUAGUUAGGUGCCUAUCUUGUAGUGGUGGAGCUUGCCACAGGCAUACCAGAGAGCUUGCAUACAGGGCGUGUUUGGAUGCAACCGUAGCGAAAAAUUGCCUCGCCUGUAGCAAGCCUGUGACCUGCCUCAAUACAGAAUGCCAUCAUUAAUAUUAAAGACUGAAAGAAACGACUAAUACAGAAUGCCAUCAUUAAUAUCAAUGGAGGGAGUAUCACUCAAAUGAGCAGCAUCAAUACCACCAUUAAUUAUGCUUGUGAAAUAUGCCCCUACAUCCAUUGUUCCUGUAAUACAGAAUGCAAAUUAUUAUUGGUCAAAUAUUAAAGACUGAAAGAAACGAUUACUGAAUUAAAGAACAACUCGAGAGAGCACUGGACUGAAUGGUUGCAGAUUCAAAAGUGUGUGUUUGAAUAAAAAAACUCUCAAAGAGUAGUAAUAUCUCUACUCCCCCAUGCCCCACAGUAGAAACAACUGAAGUACGUUAUGGCACUGUCAAAGACUAAGGACAUACUAAAAGUGAAUGGAGGCACAUACAUGAGAAACAUACAGGAAUUGUAGGGAACAGUACCUUCAAAUAUGCUACUUCAGGGCUUCUAGCAUGCCGACUCAAGUGGUUAGACCAUUGCUGCAUUCCAUUGCAAAAGCUUUCUUUUGCUUUCCCUGAGACCAUUGUAGAUACACAAUACUCAUUAACAGAUAACCAAAUGAUUUUAAAAUAUUUUCUGUGCUCAAUCAUAGAAACCAAGCCCUCCCUUCUUUUGCUGCACAAUUUACUCAUCCUAAUGCAUGUGGAACUGUGCUAGUGUCAUAGCCAAAUGAUCUUCAGAGGCAGAACAAACAAUAAAAUACCCAUCCCACAAGAAUAAAAUGAAAUAUCAUGUUUAAUCAAUUAACUAAUACCCCUAUCAAAACCAAACAAAUUUGAGGUGUUAAAUGAUGGUUGAGAUUUAUCUAAGAAAAAAAAAGAACUUUGCUUGUAUUAUGAACCAAUGUAGCACAAAAGAUCUCAUCACAAAUGGAAUGAGAGAGACACAAGGGAAAAAAUAGAUUAAGAUAAUAUUUUUAGACAAGGCUGGAAGACUUAUUUUAUAGUACUAUUAAACAUAAACAAAGCUACUAUUAUGGCUAUUAGUUGUAUCGAUUAUUAAGUUUUUUUCAGGAAACUAUCCAUUAUUAAGUAGAAUAUCAACUACAACAACAACACCACUAUGCCUUUCAGCCUUAUUUCUAGCUAUAUAAUCAAUAGUACUGCUAGUCUAACAAUCAACAGUAAUGAUCAUGUUCGGUAGCUGAAGCCUACAUUGGUCUGCCCAAGUGAUUGUACAUAUUGCUGUAGAAUCAAAUAAGAAGGUCUGCAUAAUUUUUCCUUCAAAAUCAACUAUUUAACUCUAUUGAUGCAAUAUGUCACAGGCUUUACUUUAUAUGGAAGGUCGGAGGAAAAAGGCAAGGGAUAAAUAUGAAAGGUUAACAAAGUAGAGAGAAAGGGUGCAAAAGAAAGAAUAUUAUAUACCAUCAUAAGAAGGCAGAAGGACACAUAACCAAAGUUCCACUUACAGGCGGUAACAAAAGGAGGAAAAUCAAAAUUUUAAUCGCUCCUCUACGAAGCAAAAUGUUACACGUGCAUGCCGCACGUGCUUACCUUAUUUUGGGGAACACUCUUACCUUUAUUUUGGCUACUCGAGCCUUAUUUCGUCUCCUCCAACCCAUUGGCAGGGCCUACACACUCGAGCCUUAUUUGUCCUUACCCCCCCUUUUAUUGGGCCUUAUUAGGCUCGACUACCUUAUUAACUAUGGCACAAUCUGCCUUAUUUUGGCUACUCAAGCCUUAUUUGUCCUAGUCUAUGUAACGCGGUAAGAUUAAUAACCAAGGCAUCGGUAGCUCACUGGGGUCAGGUGGGGCCACCGUGAAGGCAGGCCCAGCGUACACUUUCUCCUUCUCCUCCUCCACCACCACCUCCUUCUUCUCCUCCUCCUCCUUCUCCAUCCUAGCUCGCUUUCGAGCAUCCCAACGCUCAUCAGAGCUACUGCCACUAGCUGCAGCAGCUGGUGAGCGGGUGGUGAGACUCUUUCUAGAGUCCCAGCGUGCAUCCGAGGGAGACCCACUCCCUGGUGAGCGGGUGAACCCCCAGCGUGGCCUCUUUCCUGGUCCCACGGAACCAGGACAAGGUCCAAGCAGCGCCAUUUUUUUGACAAGAGAGCGUUCGCAGAAGAGAGAGUUGGGGAGAGAGAGAGAGAGAGUUUAGGCGGGGGGGCUGCUGUUGAAUGCGCAAAGCACGGCUUCGCAGGAUUCAAUAGCAAAGAUCGGGUGUCUCUUCUCUAAGAAGAGACAUCCCGGUAAUCAAUCCAAAGCCUUUAAGCAACUCGUUAAACCCUUGGAUAGGCGAGGUGGGACUAACCUCGCGGGAGCUUGCGGCGGCCGCCGUCGCGCCCUCUUUCCGCCUCCCCGCCCCGCGCGCCCCCGCGGCCUCCGAACGCGCCAUCCGAGGGCUGAAUCGACCGCGCUGGCGAACUCUGGUGCGGUGCGGAUACAGGCGCGGAGGCCGGCGCUGGCGGCGUCCUGCUGUGUCCGGCGUGGGCGAUGGCCCUAGAUCGACGCGGUGUAGAUACGGGCGCGGAGGCCGGCGACGCACGAGAAACAGGAGAGAGAGAAAAAAAAAAGAGGGGGGAUUGCAGGCGGGUGCCGCUAGGUACCCGUUCCUUUCUCCACGCUGUGCCAACUCUGAUUGGGCCGAGGCUGGGCCGAACUGCUAAUUGGGCUGAGGCGCUUCCUCUCCGCCUUUUUUUUUUAAUUCAGGUGGUUUCGAGUUCGUCGGUGGGAGAGAACUGUCCGCCGGCACAGUGUCUGCACGGCGGCGCCAUGGCUGGAGCUCAUCGGACUUCGCCGAAACGGCGGAUCCGGGCUCGGAACUCGACGGGAAGGGCACGGGAGGAUGUAGAAGCUCACCAUGAACUCACCAGGGCUUGUAGCGGUCGGAGAGGUCUCGGUCGUGGCGUGCAGCUCGACAGGAGGCUCCGGUCUUCCUGCGAAGAACCGGCGGCGAUGAGCAACAAGUAGAGAGAGAGAGAGAGGAAGAAAGAGAGAGCGACGCUUAUGGCUUCCUCACGGCAAGGUGGAGCUCGGCGGACGGUUUUGGAGACCCGUGCGGUUGCGUUGGGCGUCAAUGGCGGCGGCGGGCACACUCUGCUUCGGCGAGAUCCAAACUGCGGGGCUACCUAGGGCGAGCAGGGCGGUGUAGAUCAAAGGGGCGAGGUCGGGCGUGGUGUCGGUCUUCUUACAGGGGCAGGCACCAGGCGUGAAGACUACGCAGUAUCCCGGAUCAAUCGGAGCUAGGCGGUGGCAAAUCCUUGAACGGAGUCCGUCUUCUUCACGGCGCGAGGUAGGUGAUGCGUCUGACAAGUGGGGCCCACGGUUCAGCGACAGCAUGUGCGGGCCGGCCUGGCAGAGAGAGCACGCGGGGCGCGGGUGAGCCGUGAGCACACUCCCGCUGAGGCGGCGGCCUUGUGGGUUGACAGCCCAUCUCGGCUUGACAGCCCAGCACACUCCCAGCAGUUUGAGCUCUACUGUAGGGAAUUAUUAUAUUACUAGUAAAUAUGCGUUGCGAAGGGAGGAAAUAAAUGUUCAAUUUGUUUGCUUUAGCUUGUUGCACAGCUGCAGUGGCUGCAAUAGCUCAAUCUUAAUACGUGACUUGAUGUUGUGAAUGGUUGCUGCAACAAUUACAAACGGACGGGUAGAAAAAAGAUGCCAAUGUUAAAUGUUUAUGUAUUAUUUUUUUUAAAAUUUAAAGAUAUAUUUUAUUAUAUGAUCAGUGUAUCCAUACAAUAGUAUAAGUUAAUAUGGGAAAUGAUAUGUCAAUGUUGUAUUAAUUAUGUAUUGAAUCAAAUUAAACCUAGAUAUGAUUUUUUUGGUCGUGGGGCACUAAAAUUUUGGUUGUAAAAUACUAUCAUGUGUUCACUAAGUUAGAUAUGAAAGUUCAAUGACUUAUUUUAAGAAUCUAUAAAAAUAUGUGACUUUAAUAUCUUAUUAAAUUUGGCAUGGGUUGGUCGUCAACAUGUUUAAAUUUUCACAUGUUAGCACUUGUCGAGAGUUGCACUGGUAUAUACGAAUAAUUGAAAGAUUUGCAUUGAUAUAUGCAGAUAACUUAGAGAUAAUUUAAUUCGGCAUGGGUUGCCGUUGGUCGUCAACGUGUUUAAAUUUUCACAUGUUAGCACUUGUGGAUAGUUGCACUAAUAUAUACGAAUAAUUGAAAGAUUUGCAUUGAUAUAUGCAGAUAACUUGGAGAAAAAUUAUUUUGAUUAGAUUAAAUAAAAAUUUGUUUAAUAGUUUAGUUUAUGAUUUAAUUGGUUAGACCAUUGACUGUUUCAUCAUAUUAUAGUAAUAAUUUAUAGAUUGUUUUUAUUUAAAAUUAAUAAUUUAGUAAUAGAAAUAUUUAUUUAUUAAGGGUUAGAGUUUUAAACAUAAUAUUGUAUUUAUUUUUACCUUUAUAUUAAUAUUAAAAACAUAAUACUUUAUUAGAAUGAAAAAAACAAAAUAAAAUCAUGAAAGAGGCAAUCACAGACAUCACCGUGUAUGAGCGGAGGUGAGGGAAGUUGCAGUCCAAUCUGUGUGUUUGGCUUUAUUUGUUUAGAAUAUUUCUAUUCUUGGCUUGAGUUAGUCACAUAGUUUUUUCCUUAUUAGUCCAUCACAUAAAGGCGUCUAAGUUGGACUUUACAACUGAGGAGUUUAAAGAAACCGUAAUUUAAUAGUUGAGCCGUGGAGCUAGGAUAAAUAAGGAAAAAACCAUAUCAUCUCACAUAACUUAACAUGGCGUGAUGGUUACAAAGUGCUAGUACCUAAAGGCCAUGGUUUGAAUCCCAGCCGUGGCUGAUUAUUUUUACUCUAUUUCUUGUCAUUAAACUAGAUUAGAGCAUCUCCAACAGUUAUGUAAUUGGACUAUACAUUCUAGAAAUUUGCUAUAAACCUUAAAAAUUGCUCUCCAACAGUUAUGGAUUUGACUUAUGCAUUUUGACAAACUUGGCAUUUGAUGGAACAAACUUGACAUUUUUGCAUAGGCAUAAUGGCUUCGUGAUUUUGAUAUCCCGAGUUUCCUAGACUUCUUGUCGUGCGUGACCUCCCCACGCGCUGCGGUAGUUUCCCACGAGGACUCCUCCCCGCGCGAACUUUUCUUUCCCCCGUGCCGCCGCCUCCUUUCUUCACGCCGCCUCUUUUCUUUCCCCGCGCGCAACUAGGAGAUAUGAUCCAUCGCCGCAUCCUCUCCUUCCUUCACGCGACACGAGGCUAUUAGGAGAGAUCCAUCGCCGCCUCCUCUCCUUCCUUCACGCGACGCGACGCAGGUAUGGUUGAGGUACUCCCUACGAUCCAGUCUUUUGUAUGCGGUUUGGAUUACAAUCUUUGGCCGGCUUGGAGUAGAAGAUGGCCGGUUGGGAGGAUGUUCUGGCCAUCUGGUUCAAGUACAUAUUGUAGAGGUCAUUGAUUUGGCGCUUGAUAGAUACAUGUCCUUGGCGAUUGAUACAUACGUGAACUCUGCGACCUGCGACUUCGUGGACUACUGGCGCGCGACGGAACUCUGGCGAACUGCGACUUCGUGGAUUGGCGGACCGGGAGGCUGCGAUUCACAGAAACGGCAGUGACUUGCGACUUCGUGGACUGGCAGCGACGAGCGACGGAAAUUCCUGCGCAGAGGAAAAAUCUCGCGCGAAGCGCGCCAAACAAAAAAAGAUCCCAGACAAAAAUAGUUGGGUCCACUAUUUUGGGAAAUGCCAAGUCAAAAAUGCCAAACACUUGGAGAUGGACUUAUUUUUCCGUUGACAAAACGUUUAGAGAUUUGGCAAAUUCCAAUAAAUGGCAACUUCCAAUUGCAUAACUGUUGGAGAUGCUCAGACUGACUAGAGAGAGCAUAGCAUGGAGUGAGCAAGUGUGAGACAGUUAGGCUAAAAGAAUGGACCAGACCAAAAUUAGGGGGGGGUGAGAAACUUACCUUUUUAUUAUUAGGUAUAGAUAUAGAUUAAACUUGGAUACAUCCUAUAACAAUUAACAAGCAUAGUUAACUUGGUGAAAACUAGAUUAGACUGACUGGAGAGAGCAUAGCGUGGAGUGAGUAAAUGUGAGACAGUUAGGUCAAAAGAAUGAGCCAAUCCAAAAUUAAGGAGUGAGAAAUUUUAUAUUUUUAUUAUUAGGUAAAGAUAUAGAUUAAACUUGAAUACCGUCCUACGACAAUUAACAAGCAUAGUUAACUUGGAAAUUGGCACGUGCGGUGAGAUGUACUGAUCCUUUUGUAACAGUGUUUAUUUGUGUUUGUGUACAUUCCAACAAAGCGAAUUCAAUGUAUGUUCGUACAGCUUAUUGGUGCCAACCUUAACCAGAGAGAUUUCCUACAGAGACAACAAGUCUGUUCGCUUGUUUGAAAACUUAUGGUUAAAAGUACUAUUUGUUGAUUUGCUGUGAGACAAAAAUAUUGUUGAAUUUGAGAGAUAAGCUCAAUCAAACAGUUCUACAUUGAAUCGAUUGCUUCACUGCUGGCUUUCCAUCGCAGUUUAUGCACUCCACGCUAGCUAGUGGUUAAGUUCGGUGCAUUGGAACUGGAGAACUGGCCACUCAAUGCAAGGAUAUGUUCCUAGCUUGAAUUCAGUCAAUGCUGUUCUUCCAUUCCCUGUGGCGUGAGCGUGACGAAGACAGACCGCCAAAUGGAACGGGUAUCCACCCCUCACGGCCCUUCUGUAGUGCUGCACCGAUGAGUCGUGUAAUAGGUAGAAGAGAUUUAAGCUUUAGAAAAAAUGGCUCUUCUUUAGGUGGUCCUUUUUUAAAACUUAUUAUCUCUAUAACCCUAAAAUAAACUUUCAGUAUUUAUAUGGCCUUUCGUCCAUUUUUAACAGUUGACAGUGUUAACUGGAGGGUAAAAAACCUGUUUUGCCUCUAGUGUAAAAAAAUUAAAGAGUUUUAUUUGUUUCUUGCAUAUUUGGAGUAAUAUUAAACAAAUAAAUUCACACAUAAUAGUAGGGCAUAUUUAGACAUCAUAAUAGUACAUAACAGUACAUAGUUUUUUUUAGGGAAACAGGAGGGGCUCAGCCCCUACUGGAAUUUUAUUAGAACUUUGCGAAAAAAAAGGAGAAGCUCCGUGUACAACCAUUAAGGCACAAAAAAAGAAACAAAAAAAAUAAGUAAGAUUACACAAAACUGUCUAGCCAUAAAUCUAUUGAGGGGUGAUAACGUGCUUUUGCUCUUAGAAUAACUAGAGCAAACUCCUUCCGAAAGACUGCUUUGCAACGUUGAAUUGUAUGCGCCAUAUUUCUGAAGAUAAUGUCAUUUCUCAUCAUCCAGAUUGACCAACACAUAGUAAUGAUGAUCUCCAUAAAAAAAGAACUCCCAUUUGAGUCCUAAGACUUUCCAAGAUGGUUGUGAUGUCAUCCGAGUUUGGUAUGAAAACUUGCAAACUAGCAGGCCAUCGCAAAGGGGCGGUGAAAGAGAAGAUGCAGCAGAUCUUCUUCCAGGUUGAGAGAACAGCAGACACAAUUGUAGUCUUCAAGAAACAUCCUUUUUCUUCUAAGUAGUGCUCUAGUGCUCAAUCUGUCACAUAGUACUAACUAGAAGAAAAAUUUCCUUUUGUUCUGACAGCAGGAAAUCCACAUCCAUCUGAAAGAAGGAUGAAUCUGACUAUGCCCAACAAUAUGUUUGUACACCUGCUUGGAAGAGAAGUGAGUAGAGCCCCAGCAGUAGGACCAAACAUCAUUGUCCUGACUAAGUUGCAAGCUAUGCAGAUCACUAGAAAGGUCUUGAAAUUGCUGAAAAGCCUCUACCGACAGAGGUAGGUGGAAAAGGUCCUCAAGAGAGGUGGUCAAGACAGCAGUGCUUAGGGUGAUCUGUUGAGAUUUAGCAUAAGAAAAGAGUUCAGGGUAUCUUUGAUCGAACUGAAUCCCAUUCCAAUUAUCAAGCCACAGGAGGCAGGUAGAGCCAUUCUGAAUAUGAAUCGAAGCCAUCUCUUUGUAGGAAUUCAGUAGUUUUAAAAUGUCUCUCCACCAAAAGGAGCCUCUGAAAUGUCUUUGGCGAGAAGACAAGUUAUUCCUGGAGUAAUAGUGUUCCCAGACCAACUGAACCCAAGGAAUUGCCAGCUUAUUGAAGAAUUUAUGCAAAAACUUCAUGAGUAAACUUUCAUUGUGAAUUUGGAGAUCAAGCACUCCAAGACCCCCUUCAAUUUUUGGUUUACACACUAAGGGCCAGGCAGCUUUUGAAGGCUUCUUACUAUUUAAGUUUGACCCUCUCCAAAGGCAGUGUUUCCUAAAUUUAUCAAUCUGCUUAAGAACCGUCUUGGGAAUCAGAAAGGUACACAUAGCAAAAGUUGGUAGGGCAGUAAGAACAACAUUUGUUAACUGCAGUCUGCCAGCUUCAGAGAGCAGAGAAGAAAAAUUUACUAGUCUCCUUUCACAUUUGGAAACAAGGGGCCAGAAAUGAGCAACCGAAGGCUUGGCAAUACUAAGCGGCAGACCCAGAUAGGUGAAAGGUAAAGAUUGUUUACUACAACCAAAGACCACUGUCAGGGUAUCCAACCGGUUGUUGGGUAUUCUUAACAUCACUACCAAAAGUAGACAGUUUUCUAAUUCUAGUAACGGUGCCAAAAAUGCCAAACCUAUCCCUCAUACCACUUAAGCCAAGUUGUCAUCCCCAGCAUGACAUGAGAGACGCGGUAUUGAAAUAUACAAUUGCUCAUCUAAAUAAAUAAUGAAUGAGAUCUGCAAGCGCACAGAUUAAUACUGAUGUAGCAUUUUAACCAGAAAGUGUUCCAGGUAUCGUUAUUUAUAUUUUUACCACUGGGAAGGGAUUAGCAGCCAUCAAUAUUGAUUAUAGAAUAGAAUAUGAGAUUGAGUAUCUAUCAUUGCAUGUAUAAUUGAGAACAUUUAUCUAACUCUUUCAUACAGGGAUAAGUGUCACAUAAAAGAUAUAUGAAGUAAUGAAUAGUGACAAAGAUAAUUAAUCUGAUCAGCAUAACUAGCCACAUAUAAAUAUGAUAAGCACCUCAAUUAGAUAUUCUAGCAAGUCAUUAGCAUGGUAUUAGAACGAACUACAAGAAUAUUCCCUAAGUUAUUCUUAACUAUAUAGUCUAGCAUUAUCAUAGUUAGUGCAAUUAUACUUAGCAAUCAUUGCGAGAAAAGACUACGCCCAUGCAUAGUGAUAUUAGCAAGGAAUAUGAGAAACAUAGCAAUCACUCCCCUGUAAUAAUGUUGCUCUGCCAGCCCAAUACACGAGAGGGGGACUAUAUAAGAAUCAAUGAAGCUGUCACUAUCACGAACUACCCCACUGUGGGGGUAUAAACCCCUAUACCCUUACGGCUAGACUUGGGCCAGGAGGCUUGGCCCAUUACGAGGCAAGUUCGAGGCUUGAUCCGACAGCUCGGAGUUUCGCGCAAGGAAACAAGACGUGGAGAUCAAGCAGGAUUCUAGUCGGUUAGAAUAGGAAUUGAUAUCGAACUAUCUAUGGCAAUUGUAACCAACUAGGAUUAGUUUCCAGAUCUGUAACCCUGCCCUCCAGACUAUAUAAGGAGGGGCAAGGGACCCCCCUAAGACACAUUAUUCUCAAUCCAAUACAAUCAGACGCAGGACGUAGGUAUUAUGCCCACACGACGGCCGAACCUGGAUAAAAAGCUUGUCCGUGUCUUGCGUCACCAUUGAGUUCGUAGUUUGCGCACCGUCUACCGAUAAACUACUACCGUGGGUAUACCCCAAGGUAGACUGCCGACUAGCUUUCGUCGACAGUGGCGUGCCAGGUAGGGGGUGUGCAUACAGCUUUUCCAGCGAACAAGAUGGUCAUCGUUCCAGCUUCCGCGGCCGUGCCUGAAGGCCUCACGUUCACCGUCGGUCAGAUUACGUGGACAACCCGCGGCGGUGGCCCCACGGUCACGGUUUCGGAAGAAACCCGGAUCCGAUCUGGGAUGACGGCGGCAUCGGCUCCGACCACGUGGAUACCGGCACCGAGCACCCGACCACCACUUCCGCGCUACAGGGAAAAGAAGAUCGAUGGCUCGGACCUUUUCCGAGCUCUUGAUCACGCCGAUCUCAAGCUUCUCGAAGCUUCCCGACUAAUAGAUGGGAUCUCGCGCCAGCCUGACCAAGCCGCGCCAAUGGAUUUUCACAACUCCCACCGGCCAACUCGUGUCGUCACACACGAACAGCUGGGAACGUCUCUGACGAUAACCUCCACCCCCUCAGGACGGUCCGUCAAACUCGAGGCUGGUCCAGAUCAAGGCUCUCCUUACGGGCUGAAAAAUUCAGCCGUUCACUACUCACGGCACAUCCAAUCCCUCUUCAACGGCGCUGGUUGGUUGCCAAAGCGGAGCAAUCGACCAGCUCGUCACUACGUCAACAUGGUGACGAUCCGAGAGCUACGGGACGGCCAGGCUUCCAGCACAAACUCUAGCACCGGCUCCGUUCCUACUGAAGUCAUAAACUCCGAGGACGAAGACUACGACCUGGAUUUACCACCAUAUCCUCCGGGUUUCCCUCGCUUCCCGGUCUUUCCACCUCGGCGUGGAGACCUCGUCCUCAAUGUUUGCGGCGAUGAGCCGGUCGUUGAUGGAGAGACAGACGAGCAGAAGCAGCUCCGUGAGCAGCGCAACGCCGACCGCGCCCGACGAUGUGCGGACGAGGAACGACAACUCCUGCCGCAUAACCUCACCGACGCCUUUGACAUGGUUGGGGAUCAGCAAGUCUACAAAACGCCAAGUGCCAACGUGGCUGUCGCCAUGGCCAACUUAGAUCGACUCCCUGACACUCCCGAGUGCCAGGGUGUCCGGUCCAGCGUGCGCGCGCACCUGAUCGCCGCGAUGGGACAGACAGCCACUCUGCUCAAAAGAGUCCAAGCUAUCUCCUAUGCAGAGGUCUCCUCCGACCAGACCCAUCGCAGCCGGACCUCACCACAACCCAGCGACCACCACCGCAGCCGUUCCCCCAACGAUCAUCGAAAAGAUUCACGGCGUGACAAUGGCGGUCGGGACGCUGGCGGCUACCGCGAGCAGAAUAGCAGGCGUGGUCAGGAAGUAAACCAGCACAGGGAUCUCCAAUACAAUAUCCCUCCCAAAGACGCCCGGGACCGCAUCAACAGGCGCGCCACGGAGAGAGCAGUUCACGAAAACCUGCGUCGCAUUGAGUACGAUGCAACGCACGGUCCCCCGGGCCUGAGACAGUUCUCCUCACACCUCCGCCAGGUCGUGUGGCCCCGCAAUUUCAAGCUCGAGAAACUCAAAAAAUACGACGACAAGGAAAACCCAGAAAACUAGAUCACUCUUUAUGAGAUCGCCGUCCAAUCAGCAGCAGGAGAUGAGCACGUCAUGGCCAACUACUUGCCAGUAGUCCUCGACCAGGCUGGUCACCAGUGGCUCCUAGGCCUGCCUGAGGACUCUUUCGAUUCUUGGGAAGAACUAUGCCAAGCUUUCAUCGACAAUUUCAUCGCCACCUGCAAAUAGCUUGGGAACAAGUACGACCUCGAAAGGAUAAGGGACAGGAAAAACGAGCCUCUGCGUGAUUACAUCCGACGAUUCUCGGAUAUGCACCUUAAGAUCCCGAAAAUUUCCCACGACGAGGCCAUAUCUGCUUUCAUCAAGGGGCUGCGCUUCCAUGAAGCAUUGAGGAACAAGCUGCUGCGCAAAAGACCAACAACGAUGGCCGAGCUUCUUGCCAUGGCUAAAAACUACGCCGACGCCGACGACGCAGAAAAACUCAUCCGGAACGAUGCGAGAGGUCCCGACCAGCCCCCUCGACGAGAUGACAGUCGAGGUCGUUUCGACAACAGGAACCAUCGUCGCCCCGACAAUCGGGACCACAGAGAAGGCUGGGACAGGCGGCGUGACAAACGCGAUGACUUCAGAAGCAAGCGCCCUCGUGACCACGACCACGAGGUGAAUAUGGUCAAGCGUCCCAAUGGGCGGCGAGACUACCAGGAAGACUACAACAAGACGUUGAAGGGACCAUGCCAGCUGCACCCAAAGUCCAACCACACGAUGGAGGAAUGUCGCGUCCUAAAAAGCAUCUACACACGGUGGGCUGCUCAAGACAACACAGCCAAGAAAAAUGGGAAACAGGACGGGCACGAUCAUGAAGACGAGGACGAGGACCAGGAUAGGGACCCACGACACCAGUAUGUCAGUCCCACCGAUGUGGUCCACUCCAUCUUUGGGGGCAAGGUCUCCACCGAGUCUAAGCGAGAAAGAAAACUCUUAAAAAGAGCCUGCCUCAAUAUAGACACCACGGAUGGCCUAAUCGCUGACCCGAAAUUCCCUCCCUGGUCGCACAGGGAAAUCUCCUUCAGCAGGAAGGACCAGUGGGCCACCAUCCCGAAACCAGGACGUUUCCCUCUAAUACUGGAUCCUUGCAUCAACAGCAUCAGAUUCGAGCGCGUGCUCGUCGACGGAGGAAGCUCCAUUGAUAUCCUUUUUCGCAACAGCUUGCCUGCUCUCAAGAUAACCUCAGCACAGCUAAAGCCCUAUGACGCUCAAUUCUGGGGAGUCUUGCCAGGUCAAAGUUUAGUGCCCCUCGGACAAAUAACACUGCCUGUCCAAUUCAGCACAUCCGACCACUUUCGAACAGAGUUCGUCAACUUUGUGGUCGCCGACUUCGAAGGAACCUACCACGCCAUACUGGGCCGACCAUCGCUGACAAAGUUCUCGGCAGUUCCACAUUACUCAUAUCUGGUCCUCAAAAUGCCUACAGAGAAGGGCGUCCUAACUGUCAGAGGCAAUGUCUACACUGCAUAUACUUGCGAGGAGGAGAGCUUCAAGAUCACUGAAGCAAUUGAUCUUUCAAUUCGCAUGGCAGAAACAGCAACCCAAGCCGCACAGCUCCCUCCCGACCAGCUCCGACUACCCGAGCAGGAGACCGCCAGGUAGAAUUCAAAAUCCAAGGAGUACAAGGAAGUACAGCUGGUCGAAGGCAGCCCCGAGAAGACGGCCCUCAUCGGGGCCAACCUGGACCCUAAAUAGGAAGACGCGCUCGUCAGGUGUCUAAGGGACAACGUGAGCGUUUUCGCAUGGAAACCUGCAGACAUGCCCGGCGUCCCACGAAACCUGAUCGAGCACUCCUUAAAUGUCUCGAAGACCGCAAGACCCAUCAAGCAAAAGCUGCGACGGUUCGCUCGUGACAAAAAGGAGGCUAUUAGGACAGAAAUAACACGGCUUCUAGCAGCCGGAUUCAUAAAAGAAGUGUAUCAUCCCGAUUGGCUCGCCAAUCCGGUUCUUGUACACAAAAAGAAUAAUGAAUGGAGAAUGUGCGUUGAUUACACUGAUCUCAAUAAACACUGUCCUAAAGAUCCUUUUGGUCUCCCUCGCAUCGACGAGGUGGUCGACUCAACAGCCGGAUGCGAACUCCUCUCUUUUCUAGACUGCUACUCUGGUUACCACCAGAUCUCGCUAAAGGAAGAUGAUCAGAUCAAAACGUCUUUCAUUACUACUUUCGGCGCAUACUGCUACACGACCAUGUCCUUUGGACUCAAAAACGCCGGAGCCACCUAUCAACGGGCCAUCCAGCAAUGCCUCCACGACGAGAUUCGUGAUGACCUCGUCGAGGCUUAUGUAGACGACGUCGUUGUCAAAACAAGGGACGCAAGCACCCUAAUAGACAACUUAGACCGAACCUUUAAGGCACUAAACAAGUACAAAUGGAAGCUUAACCCCAAAAAGUGUAUCUUUGGGGGUACCUUCUGGUCUACUGCUCGGCAACGUCGUCAGCCGCGAUGGCAUACGACCAAAUCCUUCAAAAGUAAAAGCAGUGCUCGACAUGCGACCACCUAAGAACGUCAAGGAUAUUCAAAAGCUCACCGGAUGUAUGACCGCCCUCAGCCGCUUCAUCUCAAGACUAGGAGAAAAAGUCCUUCCCUUCUUCAAACUCUUGAAGGCGUCGGAAAAAUUCUCCUGGACAGAGGAAGCUGACGCUGCGUUCACCCAGCUCAAGACUUUCCUCACCUCACCGCCUGUUCUCACAGCGCCUCAGCCCAAUGAAGACCUACUCCUUUACAUUGCAGCAACUGACAGGGUCAUCUCCACGACAAUAGUGGUCGAGCGAGACGAGCCAGGCCACGUCUACAAGGUCCAGAGACCCGUUUAUUUCAUAAGCGAAGUCUUAAAUGAGUCCAAGGCCAGAUACCCACAAAUACAGAAGCUCAUAUACGCCAUUCUAAUAACGUCGAGGAAGCUAAAGCACUACUUCGACGGCCAUCGGGUCUUGGUAACCACCAGUUUCCCUCUUGGGGAUAUUCUGCGCAAUAAAGACGCCAACGACAGAAUUGUAAAAUGGGCAAUGGAGUUAUGCCCAUUCUCCCUAGAUUUCCAGAGCCACACCACAGUCAAGUCUCAGGCCCUGGUCGAUUUCAUUGCAGAGUGGACGGAUCUUAACGAGCCUCCCGUUUCCGACGUCUCCGACCACUGGUCAAUGUUCUUCGACGGGUCCUUGAACAUCAACGGCGCCGGCGCUGGGAUACUUUUCGUGUCGCCUAACAAGGACAAACUGCGUUACGUCCUUAGGAUCCUUUUUUCGGCGUCAAACAACGUCGCUGAGUACGAAGCAUGCUUACAUGGCAUACGACUAGCCGUUGAGUUGGGAGUCAAACGCCUCUACGUCCAUGGCGACUCCGCUUUAGUUAUCAACUAGCUCAACAAGGAAUGGGACGCAACCCACGAGAAGAUGGAUCUCUACUGCAAAGAAAUCCGCAAAUGGGAAUCCAUCUUCUAUGGCAUAGAGUACAUCCACGUGGUCCGGGAUAAGAACCAGGCAGCGGAUGCGCUGUCAAAGUUAGGGUCAUCUCGGGCCCAGAUCCCGCGAGGUGUUUUUGUCCAGGACAUCCAUGAGCCAAGUGUGGGCACAGACCCGGUCGAAAAGCUACCUAUUGAGGCAAUGCUCAUAGACGACGCUACUCCGACAACCAGCAUCCGUGAUUGGCGCACCCCGUUCAUCAGGUAUAUAUCGAAUGGGUCAGGCUUUUAGGAUAAAACGGAGAACGAGCGCCUCAUUCGACGAUCAAAGAAUUACAUACUGGUGGACGGCAAACUUAUGCGAAAAAUGCAAGUUCUGAAGUGCUGCUCAAAUGCAUAUCCCAAGAUGAUGGCAUCAAGCUCCUAGACGACAUACACGCCGGAUCUUGCGGCAACCACGCAGCCUCCAAAACACUGGUCGGGAAGGCUUUCCGAGCAGGUUUUUACUGGCCAACCGCGGUCACCGACGUAGAAAAACUGGUCCGACAUUGCGAAGGAUGCCAGUUCUUCGCCUAAAGGACCCACAUACCUGCUCAUGAGAUUCAAACUAUUCUGUCAUCCUGGCCUUUCGCCUGCUGGGGCCUCGACAUGAUCGGGCCAUUUAAACCAGCUCUCGACAACUUCAAGUUCGUCUUCGUGUUAAUCGACAAAUUCUCGAAAUGGAUCGAAUACAUGCCACUGGUCAAAGCAACCUCUGAGAAGGCUGUGGAGUUCCUCAAUCAAAUCAUAUACAAAUUCGAGAUCCCCAAUAGUAUAAUCACCGACCUGGGCACUCAGUUCACUGGCACUACAUUCUGGGACUUCUGCGAUGACAGACGCAUAGUCAUAAAAUACGUGUCAGUAGCUCACCCACGAGCAAACGGUCAAGUCGAACGCGCGAAUGGAAUGAUCAUUGAUGCCCUAAAGAAAAGGUUGUACACCGAGAACGACAGAGCGCCUGGUCGAUGGAUGAAAGAAUUGUCGGCCGUGGUCUGGGGUCUCCAAACACAGGCCAGUCGCAAUACAGGUGUAUCACCCUACUUCAUGGUUUAUGGCUCCGAGGCAGUACUUCCGUCUGAUAUAACCUUCAGAUCUCCAAGAGUUGAAAACUUCGACCAAUCAACGGCUGACAACGCCAGGGAGCUCGAAAUCAACUGCAUGGAGGAAAAGCGUCUAAUUUCAUGUCUUCGAACAGCAAAGUAUCUCGAAGCCAUCAGGCGGUAUCACAAUAGGAACGUCAAAGACCGUUCUUUUGUGGUCGGUGACCUGGUACUCAAGUGGAAAACAAGCCAGGAAGGAACGCACAAGUUAUCCACGCCUUGGGAAGGACCCUUUGUGGUCGCCGAAGUCACACGCCCUACAUCCUACAGACUGGCGUAUCCAGAUGGAACACGCGUGCCUAAUUCUUGGCACAUAGACAAACUGCGCCGUUUUUAUCCAUAAGUUCCAGUACCUUUUGCUUGUAAGUUUCUUAUAAUUAGCAAUAAUAAAAGUUUUUCUUUUUCUCUAUGUAUUGUUUACACGCAGAGCUUCCGACAAGUACAACAGUCUUCCUCUGCGCCAAAGAUUCUUAACGACUAUCAAUCAAACACAGUGAUACAUCACUCAGAUAACAUUACAAGCGCUCAAAAUCAUGGUCAUGACAAAAUCAAACUUUAUUACAAACUUUACAUAUAGAGUUUACAAUAAGCACCCCGACGGGCGGUUACUAGUCUACUCCUACAGACUAUCCCACAGGCCUACUGCUCGGGCUGAUCACCCGCCUGGCCUUGCUGCCCGGACGAAGGGGUCGGGGCCACCGGCGCCUGGCGGGUCGGGGCCACCGGCGUCGACCGCCCAUCUCCGGCAAUAGACGCCCCCGAUAACUCCCUGGCCGAUCUGUCUGACCCCGGCUGGUCGGGGGGAGUGGCCGUCCCGCAUAGAUUGAUGUCGCCGAUCACCGUCGACGACAAGUCUAGCAGGCCAGCUCGAAGGUCGUCCGCCUCCUGCGGGCCAACUUCCUUGGGGUACCCCCUCUCCAGCCUGGACCGGUCGACCAGGGAUAGUGGGCGCGCACCAUGCUGAGGACAUGCGCGCCGGCGAACUCCCCGGCGUCCUUAACGAACUGCUGGAGCCAAUCCCAUGCCCGUUGCGCCUUCUCGACCGGCGUCAGCCUCGGCGCGCGGGGCUGGUCUUCAGGAAGCUCGGGGCUGAUCAAGUCUAGAACCGGGGCUACUCCUUUCCAAAGCCUAAUGCAGUUAGUUUUCCAGGAGUCCCGAUCCUUGACCAGCUCAUCUAAAUGCUUUUUGGUAUUAACCUUGAGCACUACAAACCAAGCAGGAGGUCAGUUCAAGAACAAGGAAAGGAACGUUGAGCAACCAAAUAAAAAAAAGGGGGCGCGGCACGGCUAUUACCAGACAGCUCCUGAUUCCUGUGGCUUAGCUCCUCGCCUGCUCGCCGCCCGGCCUCUAGUGCCCCGGCAAGCUCUUGGCCGAGCUGCUCCUUAUCUUGCCGGAGGCGCGUGACCUCCUCCUCCAAGUCUACAGGAACAACCCCCUGGUCACCAAAAACUAACCACGCGGCUACAUACAGCUGCUCGGAGUAUGAGACUGACCUGACCGUUGCCGAUACUGGUCGGCUAAACGCCGAGUGAGCUCGAGACGACGCUCUUCCUGAGCACUCAUCUCGGCCACUUUCUCCCCCACCUCCGACCGAAGCCGGUCCACCUCCGCGGACAGGGCCUUGUUCUCGGCCACAAUGCCCUCUAUUUGGUCGAAGCACCUCUUUCGGUACUUCGCCGUUUUCAUCGCGCCCUGCAAGAAGAACACAUGUCGACCCAGGAACACAGCACAUAAGUGUCGAGCAGCACAAAGGACCACUUACCUUAACUUCGUCCACGAGACGCUUAGCCGCGCGCUCCACCCUGGCGGCCUCUUCCGUCUCCGCUAGCUCCUCGUGUCCAAUGAAGUGGUCCCCGCGUUGGCGCCACACGUAGACGUGCUGGCGGCCAUCAUGGGGACGACCUUCAAUUUCCUCCACGUCGUCGUCAGAAGCCGCCUGGGUCUCCUCGUUCGCCGCACUGCCACCGGCUGUGGUCGCAGGCAUCACCGGCCCCUGGUCCAGGCCAAGGGAGCCUGCAGGUGAUGAGGCCCCUGCCCGGGGCGGUGUGGGGACUCCCCUCUCUUCGACCGAGGGAGGAGUCGGGACCCUGUCUUCCUCCUCCACGAUGUUACUCGGGGGAGGGGUCCUCGUAGCCUCUUCAUCCCUCGUCGGGGCGCUUGCCGUGGUCUUUGCUGAGGCCGGAUGCUCUUCGGUGCUCUCGGCCACAAUUGUCGCCGCGGGCUGCUCCGUGGUCUGCGGCGCAGCGCCCACAGCGGCAGCAACGGGCUUGGCCACCCUCUGGCCAGCAACGCAGUCAAGAUCGACGUCCGACGCCGCACUAGCAAUACGACGACAUUUCAACAAUGUCAAAACGCAGCAACAAAACACAAAACAUCACAGCGCGAAAGUAAGAAUGCAAACUUACAGGUCAGGGCGUCGGUGUGUGGCGGUGAACCUCCUCCUGGUCCUACCGGUCGGUGCCUGCGCCUCCGUCUCUACGACGCGCGUCGGCUCGACGUGCGGUGCAGGUGGGUCACUGGUCACCCGACCAGUCGUGGCCGGCGCAACGUUCAGACGACUGCGAGGCCUCCGGACCAACGACGGCGCAGCAUCCUCCUCCUCCUCGUCGUCAUCGGUGAUUCGGACGAGCCGACGGCGCUUUGGCGCCUGGCUGCUCUCUGCCGGCAGCGUCGCCGCAGGGGAGGGAUCCGCUGCCAUUGGCCUUUUCCCCGCCACUCUGUCCUCGGUGGUUGGGGCGGGGUGGCUCUGUUCCUCUUCACUGCUGGUGUACCGAGUACACCGAGCAGCGUCGUCUUCUGGCGGGUCUUAACCCGUGGGGUUCUCCAUGCCAGGUGCCAGUGAUACAUACACUGUGGACCGGUCAACGUCUCCGAUCUGCAACAUUAACAGAGAAAAGUCAACAACCAUGAAGAACAAGGACUAAGGAGGUAACAUCAGUCAGUAGCAUUACCUUAGGAGCUAGUCGCCCCAGUUUGAAGGCUUGUACCCGAUCACUACCACGGACGAAACUGCCGUCUGCAAAGUUGAAUAGCUCGUUCAACAGUUGUUGCACUUCCGCUUUCUCCAAGACCUCAGGCCUCAUCCUGGUCGGGUCUUGGCUCCCAGCGUACUCGUACGCUGAGUGCACCCUCUUCUGGUAGGGCAUCACCCGACGACAGACGAAGUUGCCGACCACCCCUGGCCCGUCCAAACGCGACCAGUCGAUCAGCUUCAUCAGGUCCGCUACUUGACCGGCGAACUCUGGGCGGUCGGUCCAACUGACCCUCUUCUCGGGAAUGUACCCCACGUCGCAGAACGUGGAGCUGCCCGGCUCUUCCCUAAUGUAGAACCACUUCUUGUACUAUUCGGUGAGAGAAGUGUUCCAUGGGCAGUUUAGAUACCGGUUCUUCAUCCCGUCACGAAGAUUGAGGUAUAUUCCACCUGCAAUCUUGGAGCCUCCAACCACUCCCUUCUUCCUCAAAUAGAAAAGAUAACGGAAAAGAUCGAAGUGCAGCUCUAUUCCAACAUAGGCCUCGCACAGAUGGAUAAAAGUGGAAAUAAGGAGAAUUGAGUUCGGGUGCAGAUUGCAGAUCCCGAUCUCAUAGUACAGAAGAAGCCCCUGGAGAAAAGGAUGGACAGGAACCCCAAAACCCCUCUUGAUAAAAUCUUCGAAAACUACAAUCUCACCGGCACGGGGGUCGGGGUAGCUCUCCCCCUCUGGCGCCCUCCAGCCGCCGAGCUCUUGGUUGUGCAGUAGCCCCAUGUCGGCGAGGUCGUUGAGGGACUUCACGCUGCUCCGGGACUUUUUCCAUUCCUUAGCCAUCAGCUCGGUCCUCUUCUUGGAGUCGCUCUUCGCCAUUGACGUUGCGGGAGUGACUGCGAGUCGGGAGGAUUGAUGGUGGUUGUAGAAGGCAAGAACGGAAAGCUUGAAAGCGAUGGCAAGGUGACCAAUACGGGGGUACUGUCAGGCUUUUAUAAACCACAACUCCACCCCUCCCACUUCCCGCAUUCUUGGGAAGUGGGCGGGCCAAAAGGCGGACGCGGCGCUUCGGUUUUGAAUAAUUACCGGCAGUUAAUACGGCGGCCUUUUUGCAUAAUGGAUGGUUUCCUUUUGUCGAACCGCGCAAAGAGCGGCUGCACAGUUACCAGGCGCACCUUUUCAUGCAACCAUCUGACAGUGCGUCAGGAGGUCUCGUCACGUCACUCAUUUUUGUGGUAAGAUGCUUUUUUUUCAAAAUAACAGACGAAAAUUGGUGGAGGAUCAAUGUUACUAGGGACUGCGCCGACCACCGAGCACUGUAUGCUCGGGGACUGGUCGCCCAGUCCGUCAGCUCGGAUAUCUAGGGACUGCACCGACCACCGAGCACUGUAUGCUCGGGGACUGGUCGCCCAGUCUGCCAACUCGGGGAUCUGGGGGCCGCACCGACCAUCGAGCACAGUACGCUCGGGGACUGGUCGACCAGCCCGCCAGAUUGGAAGAAUUAGGGACUAUGCCAAUCAACAAGGCAUUAUCUGCUCGGGACUGAUUGAUAAGUCUAUCCGAUUGCAAACGAGCAUGAGAUGCUCGGGGACUGGAUAAUUUUAAUUUUUUAGACCUUGCUACAAGGCUUAUACUUCACCUUCCAGCAAGCUCGGGGACUACAUCGGUACGAUGCAUCUGGCGAUGCAUCUUGGUUUUAGACUUAUUCUGAGUACUUUUCUUCUGACCCUGGCACCACGUGUCUGCGCCACCUACUACCAGGCUCGGGGACUAAGUGGGCACACUUCACCUUGCGGUGAACAUGCUUGCUUUUUGAAAAUCUGCACUUUUCUGAAAAGUAAAGUGGGCACACUUCACCUGAAAAGAAAUCUUGUUUGAUUAAGAGCACCGUGCAUUCUUCGAACAACCUGCUUCUUCGAUGUCAGUGUUGAUCAACUGUCUUUUGAGUCGGUCAAAAUACCGUCACAACUGUUUCGGCGACUCUCCUGCCUAUUGAAGAUGUCAAAGUUUCACUGGUCGAAGAAGCUCAAGACGGCGUGUUACUUCACAAUACAUGGUGCUCGGGGACUAGCUGUGGGGGUAUAAACCCCUAUACCCUUACGGCUAGACUUGGGCUAGGAGGCUUGGCCCAUUACGAGGCAAGUUCGAGGCUUGAUCCGACAGCUCAUAGUUUCGCGCAAGGAAACAAGACGUGGAGAUCAAGCAGGAUUCUAGUCGGUUAGAAUAGGAAUUGAUAUCGAACUAUCUAUGGCAAUUGUAACCGACUAGGAUUAGUUUCCAGAUCUGUAACCCUGCAAGGUAGACUGCCGACAAGCUUUCGUCGACACCCACGAUCUGGCAUAUUGGGUACAAUCGCAGAUAAAUACGGUAUAAGCACCACGCUUACACAAUAUCUAUCAUUUACCCAUGGAUCCGAGGGAUAAACGCUAUACGGUCCUAAACAUGUAUAUAGAUCAAAUCUAACUAAGCCAAGUAUAUAACUAUGAUAAACUAAGAACAAUAUAAUUCGUAAUAUAAACAAGUAGAGCAAAGUCAUAAGCAAUAUAUUGAAGUAGAACAAAGUCAUAUUCAUAAUAUUGAAGAACAAAGAUGAACAAUUAGAAGAACAAUUAGAGAAUUACCAAGAAUCCUCUUGACAGAUCUAGAAACCAAUCGAAGAUUGACUCCUUCUAGUUCUAAUCCUAUGUAGCUAUGUUAAUCUAGAUGUCUAAUUGAUGUGGUGGCUCUAGGCUUGAUCAGAGGGUUCUUCUCCCUUGAGGAUUAAUGAAUUAGGGUUGAGAGGCUCUCUCCUCCAGGGGCCAGGGGGUCUGGUUUUAUAGUCCCUCCAAGUGAAUAUGGGCCGUUGGAUCAAACCGACAUUGAUUGAAAGGUUAUCCUUGAUCCUUUAGGUCGGUGGAGAUUGAUCCCGAAAGAGAGUCCUGUUUGGACUCAAGGAGGGGGCGGGCGCCCUGGUCACCUGGGCGGGCGCCCAGGGCCAGGCUCCGUUCGGCCUCCGCUUCCUUCCCAUGGCUUUUGGAGUCUUCUAGAUGUAAGAUAAUUGCACGACACGUUAAUAUCUCUAUGUAAUCCCGACGUGUGGGCCUUUCUUCCGUAUUUCCUGAUAACCCCCUGCAGAAAUAGACAAACACCAAAACUCGUGGAAUUCUGUCAGAUAAAACCCUAAGUCUAGAUGUUGGUUGCAUUUGGAUCCUUUUCUUUGUUUAUUUGAUAAUUAAAUUUGAUACUUAAGGACCGUCAACAAACUCCCCCAAGCUUACCUCUUGCUCGUCCCUGAGCAAGGAUAAUCUCAGCGAUGGAUCAUAAGUUGUUGCAAUAUCUUUAAAAAUUGAUGGUACACAUGCUUUUAAAUGAGGUCUCAUCUCUGAGUUAGAGUAAACUGUCAAGACUUAAAACUUACUCACUUUACCUUUCACCAUGGGACUUGUAACUGUCACUUCUGUCUUGAGUAGUUAAAAGAUAGAACAGUCUAGUCAAGUGCCAUGUCUCUUAUUCUUGAUCAGCUAUAGCUCUGGAGUUUUUGCAGAUUUUCAAAUAAAACUCAGAGAUUCCUUGUAUGACUCUCUCAGAUCUCUCUUUUGUGGUAUUUCUGGAUCCUUACCAAGGCAGUGAUGGUAUAUGCCUUCUCUCAAAAUAUGUAGUAUUUGUGGUAUACGGCAUAGUGAUAUUGCCUUCUCUCUUACCCUACUCUAAUAAGGCUUUAAUAUCUGGAGCUCAUAGGUGGGAGAUAAAGUAUACAUACUUACAAGACAUUUAUUGCAUAGUCAAACCAUGGAUCUAAAGAAACAAAUCAAUAAGUCAAAUCAAGAUGUGCAUGUGUGGCGAAUGAAUGGCGUAUGGUGAUGAUGGUGAUAAUUAUGGUGAAAGUCUAAUUCUACUGUUGCUCUUUUGAGGGGAUAUAUACCUUUCUUGCUUUUUGAAACUUUGUGAUGAGAAUGAGAUGCUCUGUAUUUUUCUUUUCUCUUAGGUGGGUAUCUUGUACCCCUAAUUCUAUUGUCGGACACUUGUCCAUUUUUACCUCUCGUCUCACUUUUUCUUUUUCUUUCGAGGUUCCAAGCACUUGCCCCUUUUUAUUUCCUCGUUUUUUUAGAGCACUCUUCUCUUGAGAUAAUAUAGCAAGUGAUAAUAACAAGAUAACUUGAGCAUUUAUUUCACAAGGGAAAAACAGAAAUAUUUUUGGCUAUUCUCUCCCGGAUUAGGAGUAGAAUAUUUUUGGGUGGUUCUGGAGAUGGAAAUAAGUGGAUAUAUGUGGAUGGUACUUCUGGAGUAGAAGCAGCAUAUGUGAGUGAACGUGCAAGUGAAUCUUGAUUUUAACCACAUGACAAGCUCUUAAGGGUCUAUACAGCUUGACCACACUCAAUGCUCAUAAGCAGUAAAAAGUAAAUGUGUGGCUCAAAGUCUAGCAAGCAUGUAUAUAUGGCUGUGGUAGGAAUUUAAACUCUCAUCAUACAGGAACUCAUCAUGUGAUAUUUUAUAGAUUUUAAAAGAUAAACUUCUCUAGAUUUUUAGCAUCUCUAGGAAUAGAUAAAUAGCAGCUCAACCUUCCCAUGUGAUAUCCGUUAACAACUUAGACUUCAGAUCAAGUUUUCUUCCCACAAGUUCAGGUUUAGAGCAAGCUUUAAAUUAUAACAGUUGUGUCUAAACUUGAGAGGAAACUCAAAUUUGAAAAAUUAGGUAGAGCAACUAUUCAUCAUAUCCAUGCUAGAGUUUUAUUAUUAAGAUUCAGAUUAGCAUAGCCACUUUAUUUAUUUAUUAAACUUGCCCGUCCCGCUCGACCUCCAUUGCCGUAGAGACGACUCGAUCGGUUGCUGCUAUGUAAAGGAGCAGGUCCUCGUUAGGUUGAGGCACCGUGAGGACGGGUGGUGAGGUGAGGAAAGUUUUGAGCUGGGUAAACGCAGCGUCAGCUUCCUCUGUCCAGGAGAAUUUUUCCGACGCCUUUAGAAGUUUGAAGAAGGGGAGGCCCUUUUCUCCCAGUCUAGAAAUAAACCGGCUGAGAGCAGCCAUACAUCCGGUGAGCUUUUGAAUAUCCUUGACAUUCUUGGGUGGUCGCAUAUUGAGCACUGCCUUUACUUUUGAAGGACUCGGUCGUAUGUCGUCGCGGCUGACGACGUUGCCGAGUAGUAGUCCAGAGGGGACCCCAAAGAUACAUUUUUUGGGGUUAAGUUUCCACUUGUAUUUAUUUAGCGCCUUAACGGUUCGGUCUAGGUUGUCGAUUAGAGUGCUCGCAUCCCUUGUUUUGACGACAACGUCGUCUACAUAAGCCUCGACGAGGUCGUCACGAAUCUCGUCGUGGAGGCAUUGCUUAAUAGCCCGUUGAUAAGUCGCUCUAGCAUUUUUAAGUCCGAAGGACAUGGUCGUGUAGCAAUACGCACCGAAAGGAGUUGUCGGUGUUUUCCCCCCGGGGGGUCACACCAACGAGUAAAUUUGUAUGUGUGUUCCCUUUUCCAGAUGGUGAUGCAAGAAGACACUGAGAUUUAUCCUGGUUCGGGCAAGAGAAGGCCCUACGUCCAGCGGGGGGGAGAGAGUUUUUAUUAUCUUGCACCUAAGUGCUUGUACAGGGGUGAAUACAAGCGCGGUAUGAAGUGUGGAGCACUACUACGUAUGAGCGUGGUGUUCGCUUGCCGUUCUAUUCCUGAGUCCCUCCUUUUAUAGUCCCAAGGAAAGACCCAGGGUACAUGUAUAGGCGUCAGAAUAGGAGUCGAUAGCAGCAUGGAGCGCUGACCUACUCGAGGCUUCCGUACCGGCGUGGCCUCGAGUCGUCUCGUCUUGGUAGCCUGGCGAUGAUUACGCGUGCUCUGUUAUCCUGCUCUGCGCCCCGUCUUGGAUUGGUUACCGGAUGUACGCUUGUACGACCCGACGGCAAAUCCGGCGGAGUGGUUGGGAUGUAGUCAGUCGACGCCCAACUCGUCCCCUGGAAGGAUCCCUGUCUUGGUCGAGGUUCGGAUGCCGUACAUUGUGCUGAUAUCCGGAGCGCUGACUUCAGAUGUCUCGAGGGGGUCCCGACUAGACGUUCCAUCCUCGUUUCCCGCGUUCUAACAUAUCCAGGGUCGUCUGGUGGGAAGACUGCAAAAAGAACGAUGGGACAGAUGCUUGUUCCCUUAUCACGCCUUCCGUGACCCAUGUGUUAGGUGGGGAAGCGUCAGGUGCAUUAAAUGCCCUAGCUCUCGUGCGCGCGUCAGGCGGCGGACAGUGUCCUUGCUCUCGACGCCUCUUGAUUCGCUCGGGACCGCUUCCGUAUUCGACGGCAGUUGGCGCUCGAGCCCUGAUCGAUUCGCUCGACGCUACUUCCGUCUUCGAGGCCGCGGCCGUCGACGGUUGCGCGUAUGUAUGGACGGAGCGUCGAAUCGAAGAUCUAGUCUUAUGUACGGAUGGUCUCGUUAUAUGUAUUGGUGAGGGUACCCCUUGUUGAUACCCUCGACAGUAGCCCCCGAGUCUCCAUUUGAGCGCUGGCGCUCGAGUGGAGACUUUUGUUUUUACAGUCGAGGUUCCGUGGGGGCGCGCGAGCGACCCCGCAGGGGUAGCCCCCGAGCCCUCGAGGGAGUAUUUAACUCCUUCGAGGGUUACUUUGCUUAAUUUGCAGAGACACUGUCGACACCAGUGGUGGAAGGUUCUGAUCGGCUUUGCCUUGCGAGGAGGUUUCAACGUACUCUCGAUAGAGCGAGCGUCUUCCACUCCAGAUCGAGUUCCUAGCGGGCAGUCCAAGUGAGAACCUGUGCCCCUUUCGAGGGGGUCAGCUGUAGCCCGGAGGCGUUCUCGUAAAGCUGGGUCGACGUAGUCGGGGAUACCGGUCUCAUUCGAUAGAGUCCAGCGGCUCGAUGCCUCCCGUCGGGGGGAUUCCUCUCGACUGUCUCGACCCUGCCUUGGACAUCGCCAGCGAGUUUUCGAGGCAGGCCUCGAUCUUCGACCGCUCGCUGGAGAUCCCUGACUCUGGUGCUCGAGAUCGGCUGUCGAACCCUUUCGGCGGGCCAGCCAUCGACCUCUCGAGACUCUCGCGGGUACGCUUGGCUUACAAGGGAAGGAAGUGGCCACGACGGUUCACCUUUCUGCCCGUUGGGCGCGUCUUUUUAGGCGGGUGACGUUACUACACUGUAUCGGCGUGGAAUUCGGAACGCCCGGCCUGUGAAGGGGGAAAGACUGUUAGGUAGCGCAUUAAUGGGGGGACGUUACCUCAUUUCCCGGAUCUGUCCGUUGGCGGAUUGCGGCCUAUAAAUACGUCGUGGCGCCGUCGCCGUUCCUCUUCCUUCCGCCUUCUCACUUCCAUUCUCUCAUUGUCUUUGCCUUCUCGCUGCCUUAGCUCUCUCGCCGUCUUACGCGCACACGCCUCCUCGUGCAGUAGCGGAUCCACCGCCUCUCCGGUCAAGAUGCCUGUAAGACUCAUCGCCGCCGACGACUGGCGCCCGUCGUCGGUGACGGAGCGCCGGUUGUUAGAGCUUGAGAAAGAGGGAUUGCUGCGCCACCGUACCUCACUAUCGUCGCCGGAGUGGAUCGCGCCGCCGACGAGUCACAGGGAGCCCCAGCCGCCCGAGGGCUACGUGGUGUCGUUUGCCAAGUUCCACCGCCACGGCCUGGGUGCUCCCCCGAGUCGCUUCAUGCGGGCCCUCUGCUUCCACUACGGGGUGGAGCUCCAGCACUUCUCCCCGAACGCCAUCACCGUCGCGGCGGUCUUCGCCGCCGUGUGUGAAGGCUACUUGGGGAUGAUGCCGCACUCGGAGCUGUGGCUCCAUCUCUACAGGGGCGAGCUCUUCAACGCCCCCACUGGGGCCACCGGCGUGAGGAAACCUGUGCGGGCGGGUUGCCUCAAUCUCGUGCUUAAGACGGGGAAGUCGGAGAGGCCGCGCGAGUACAUCCCGCUGGGACUGUCGACUAACCACGCCGGCUGGGACUCCCAAUGGUUCUAUCUGAGGAAUGACGACGACCUGCUGCCCGCCUAUACCGGGCGUUUGAUCACGGAGCGACCGGAGAAUUGGGCGUACGGCGUUGUCCAAGUUCACCAAUCUCGGCUCGACCCCCUCCUCGACGUCAUGAAGAAGCUGCGUUCGGAGGGCUUGACUGCCGCCCUCGUUCUCUCGGCCGUUCAUCACCGGAGAGUUCUCCCUUUGAUGUCUCGGCCGUUGAGGAUGGAUGAGAUGGGCCCCGGCGUUCCAUCUCGGGACCUCGAGGCGUGCCGGAUGUCCAACGAGGCUCCGACGGAUGACGAAGUCGCGGCCCGAGUCAGGGCUGCCAUUGCCGGUGAUUUUCAGCCGGAGCAUGUUAACGGCUUCCCCAUGAGGCCAGAUGCCGGCUCGAUCGAUCUGGUAUGUUUUCUUCUUGCGCGCAACCUCGAUUCUGGGUUUCUUUUCUUUCCCUCUCCUUUUCUUUUCUAAGUCUGCCUUCAUUUUGACAGGGACGGAUCGACGUCCGGUCCUCGAGGCCCCCGGUAAAGGAGGACGGGGUCGAUCGUGACAAACGGCGCCAAUCCGCCGAAAAGCUAAAGUCCGCUAAGGACUCUGCCAAGAAGGGGGAGAAGAAGAAGAACCUCGACCGUCAAGCGUUAGAGGCGCGUCGGGCCAAAUCCAGGCAGAGGGGGGAGCCUGAGGAAGAAUCCCCCAACGAUGACGAUGAUGACGACGACGACAACGAUGAUUCCGAGGGGAUGGCGUCACGCCUCGACCGGAUCCUCGAGGGCCCGUCUCGAGGCGACGUCGACGCCCCCCGGACGGAGAUGUCAAGGGAGGGUCCGAGUGAAUCUCAUCGCCCCCGGGCCGAGACACCUCCUGCGCCCAAGACGGGUCGAGACGCACCGCCCUCCCCCGGCGCCCAGAGAGAGCGGUCAGGCUAGACCCCAGGCGAAGGGGCCAUUGACUCGCGGUCGCGCCGCGGCCUCCGAGAAAGGAGAGGCCGGCCGCAGGAGCGCCAGUCCCGGUGCCCGUCAGGCAGGAACCGACGCGCCUAGGCCGGCGCCUGCCCUCGAGGGACCUGGAGCCCUGAUGCGGGGUGGCUCGAGGCCCGCUAGUCGGGGCGGCGGGAGGCGAGCUGUUCUCCCUAUGGGGUAAGCCCUUUCGAUGUUGUGGCUUCUGUUUUCCUGUCCCUCUGCCGAUCUUUUCUCAUAAACCGAUCCUUUCUCACGCUAAAGCGGACCCUCAAGCAGGCCCAACCAUCCAUGGCAAAGAGGCUCAAAGCGGGUGCCGCCUCCAAGGAACCAGGUUCGUAGUUUAUUUCUGGGCGUUGCGAUGUUCUUGUGUCGGUUAUCAUAACGUCUGACCUUUUUAUCCUUUGUUUUGUAGGCUCCUCCAGCUCCCAACCUCCAGCCGGCGUCGAGAAGGCUCCGUCUCGUCCCGCGCCUAUUCCGUCUUCGCCGACUCGUGAUGAGGCGCCCGAGACGCAAGCGUCAGAGGGAGCCCCCGAGCCCCCUUGAUUGGGGGUCGAGGGGGAACCCAUCACCAUCAGCGAUACGUCCGAUGGUAACGAAGCGUCUGGAGGCGCUCGCCCUAUGGAAGAGGAAGCGUCGACCCCUCGUGUCGCGGGAUCAACUCCCUGGCCCGCCGGCCUCCGCACCCUUGAGGAGCAGAAAAAGAAGAAGGAGGAGGAUGAACAGCGGGAGCGCGAGGCAGCGCGGCAGCCGCAGGAGCACGAGGCGCAGCAAUAGCAGCAACAGCAACAGCAGCAGCAACAACAGCAGCAGCAGCAGCAACAGCAGCAGCAGCAGCAACAACAACAGCAACAGCAGCAGCAGGGGGGCCAAGAGGAGGGACUGCUCGAGCCUCCGCCCCAUUGUCCGGCCCAGGCAGCACCACCGGAGCCGCAAGAGCUUGGUGAGCAGGAGGAGGAUCUGCCGGCGUACGGCCCCCCAACCCCGGCGUGGCUCCUCCCGGGGGCUCCUGCCGCGAUCCGGGCAGAGCCGGGGCGAGCGGAUGGAGUGGUGGCGCUUGCCUGCCUGAAGCGCACCCCCCGACCCCGAGUCCGAGAUCAAAAGGACAAUUUACGGCAUGGACGGGAUCGCCCCAGGGUUCCUCCGGGAACGUCGGGCGUGGGAGGACCGCUUUCCUUCCGAAGAGGACGAAAUUGGGACAUCUGGGACCAAGGACGGAACCUUGAAGACGGUGGACGACGACGGGCGGUUCCCAUGCCUCGUCGACCUGUUCCUGCGCCAUGGGGGCUCUCUCGAGACCGUCGAGGACCUCAUCCGCGGCGUUAAGGCGCGGGCCGACCGGGAGAUGGAGCACUGGUGCCCCGAUCGCAUCCGUAUCCGGGCCUCCCACGACCCGUCUGAGCCCGACAUCUUCCUCGACGAUCGGAAGGAGGCGGAGAAGUGGGAACACGUCGAGGAGCUCCGCCUUUGGAUGAAGCAUGUGGUGGGGCUCCUCUCUGACGUUGUCAACAACGGGCUCGACCCGGCUUAUUUCGUAAGUGUUUCUCGAACUUCAAUCCUCACGGUGCUUUCUGGUUUCUGUGUUCCAAUUCAUCCGACCCUUGAUUCGCAGGAUAUGAAAGAGACCUCCCGCAUCAAGUCCAGUUUCAUACACGCCACGAGAGGCGGCUGGGAGCAGCUUCCCCUCCUCAAGGAUCAACUCCUCGAGUCGUAGGAAAAGCUCCUUAAAGCUUAUAAGGAUCUCGUAGCACUCGAGGGGGAGAAGAAAGCGAGGGAGGCUGCUUUGGCCGAGGCCCGAGAGGCCUCGAAGAAGGCAGAGGAGGAGACGAUGCAGCUACGGGAGCGGGCUCUUACGGUCGAGGGGGCCGCGUCCAGAGCCCGGGAGGAGGCCCUGUCCUACAAGAACGUCAUCGUGGAUUUGGACAAGGAGAAGGGCCUCCUUAAAUCCGACCUGGACUCUCUCCGAGAGUCUUUCCGAAAGAUGAAGGUGGAGCAUGUGAACGGUGAGGUCGCCAGGGGCACCGCAGAGGAAGCCAAGAAGAAGGCCCUCGAAGAUCUCGAGGCGGAGCGGGCUCGAUCCCGCAGUCUCUCUAACGACGUUGAGCGUCUGAAGGGAGAAUUGCUGGAGAAGAGUGGGGCCAUUGUUCAGGCUGGCAAGGCGAUCGAGGAUCUCCGCGUUGCCAACACCGAGCUGGCACGCUCCAGCAAAGAGAUCGAGAGGGCCAACACCAGGCUGGUCGGUGAGAACACGGCUCUAGAGGAGACCGUACGCGGUAUGUUUCCUCUAUCAAGUUUCUUUUUUCGAGGUGUGCUUGGUUUUUCCUAAGGUCUCUUGUAUUGGCCUUUACAGGGCUCAAGGACGAACUCCUAGCCGCCCAAGCCGAGGCUCGCAACGCCAAGGCUCAGCUCGAGGCGGAGGUUGCUUUGAACCGUCGAGUGCGGACGGCGAUAAGUGAUCUCUCGACCUCUUGGGAGGUCGAGCCCAUGGAUGUGUCGCGGGAGGGAGCUCGAGGCGACGCCCUGGUCGACCAGCUGUGCUACAUAGGCGCGACGCUGCGAGAUCGGGUGCGGGAUGCUCUCCACAUCGGGGUGAAGCGGGCGAUGGCGGUUGUCUGCUCGGGCUUCUCCUACGACAUGGAGGUGGUGUCUCAUGGCUUCGUCACCGACAUCUCCAAGACCGACGCGGAGAACGAGGAGAGGCUCCACGCCUUGAUCGAUGACGCGGAGGCUCCUGGGGAAAGGUUGGCUAGGCUUUUUGAGCCUGAGGUGCUCCCUCCUGAGGCUAGCUCGGGCGGAGGCGAGGGCGGUGAGGAUCGUGCCGCGGACUGAGGCCUGCGAGCCUGCUCAUGGUGCCUGAGGACCAUUGUAUGAUACUUUGUUAAUUCUAUGGUUAACUGAUACUGUAUCUUUUUCGUAAUCGUUAAAUGCUUAUUUUGUCUUUCCGCUCGAUGCUUUCGUUUCUCUUUGCGCCUACGUUUGUAUCCCUUGCUCGAUUUUUCGUGAAAGACCACCUCGAUCACUUCAAUAGUGGGGAAGUGAGUAGAGUUUCCGUAGCCCGGGGGCGUAGGAGUUCUCCAGUUCAUUGUCCCUCGGCCUUUGAGGGGCUCGAGGCGCCUUAGCUACUUGAACCUUGCAAGGUCUACUACGCAAGAAGAGAAAACUUCUUGGUUUUUUCGACACUCGGGGGGGGGGGGGUCGUCCCCCAGGUAGCCCCCGAGGGGGUGCUGACUAUGAUGGGUCAUAGUCGGCGGCCCCUUUUAAUCGUCGAGAUCAUGACUUGUAAGUCUUUUUGGCACGAAAAGAAGUUGCUCCGAGGGAAAGACUUUAUUUAUUCAUUCAUUCGUCUACAAAAUCUUGGUACAAAACGUAAGCAGGAACAUAAGGCUAGAGCUUCUAGGGGUAGAAUCGACGUAGCUGUUCGAUGUUCCAUGCGUUGGUGAAGAUUGCCCCCUUUUCGUCCGCCAACUUGUACGUUCCCGGCUUAAGGACCUCGGCCACCACGUACGGGCCUUCCCAGGGUGGAGUCAGCUUGUGGCGUCCUUGAUUGCUUUGCUGGCGUCGUAGGACAAGGUCACCUACGUUGAGGUCCCUCUUGCGCACGUGCUUGUCGUGGUAGCAUCGAAGUUUCUGCUGAUAUCUGGCAGAGUUGAGGAGGGCCAUGUCUCGAGCCUCCUCGAGUUGGUCGACCGCGUUUUCUUGAGUCUCUCUGUUUGAUUGCUCGUUGUAAGCCUUGAGUCGAGGUGAUCCAUACUCGAGGUCUGUGGGGAGGAUAGCCUCAGAGCCGUAAAGCAUGAAGAACGGGGUGUAUUUUGUGGCCCUGCUUGGUGUUGUCCUAAGGCUCCAUAGGACUGAGGAAAGCUCCUCGACCCAUUUCUUGCCGAAUUUCUUCAAUCGAUUGUAGAUCCUUGGCUUGAGUCCUUGUAAAAUCAUGCCGUUGGCACGCUCGACCUGGCCGUUAGUUCGAGGGUGGGCUACUGCAGACCAGUUCACACGGAUGUGAUGCUGAUCGCAGAAGUCCAAGAACUUUUUGCCGGUGAACUGGGUGCCGUUGUCGGUGAUGAUGACGUUGGGGAUCCCAAACCGAUGGAUGAUGUCGGUGAAGAAAAGGACGGCUUGCUCGGAACGGAUGUUGGUGAUGGGUCGAGCCUCGAUCCAUUUGGGGAACUUGUCAAUGGCCACCAGCAAACGAGUGUAUCCUCCUUUUGCCUUUUGUAGAGGUCCUACUAAAUCGAGCCCCCACACCGCAAACGGCCAGGUGAUGGGGAUCAUCUGAAGAGCGUGGGCGGGCAGAUGCGUCUGCUUGGCGUAGAACUGGCACCCAUGACACGAGCGUACGAGCUCAAUGGCGUCCGCCACGGCCGUUGGCCAGUAGAAGCCUUGUCAAAAAGCGUUCCCUACAAGGGUCCGUGGAGCGGCGUGGUGGCCACAAGCCCCCGAGUGCAGGUCAUCGAGGAGUUUUCGGCCUUCUUCCACGGUGAUGCUACGUUGUAAGACCCCCGUCGGGCUCCGUCGAUAUAGCUCGUUGUCUUCGCCAUAGGUUACAUAUGAUUUGGCCCGUCGAGCGAUACGACGAGCUUCUGACCGGUCUUCUGGCAACUCGCCGCGGAUGAGGCAGUCGAGGAACGGCGUGCGCCAAUCGAGCCGUCGUUCUAUCUCCAUCACCUCUUCCACCAUCAAGAGCGUAUCGACAGCAUUGGUUGGUUGGGCGGUGGUGGCGUCGACGCCAGCCCCCGUGCCUAGGUCGACGGAUGGCUCGUGAAGAUCUUUUGAGAAUGCAUCAGGCGGCACCGUGCCUCUGGUUGAUGCGAUCUUGGCGAGUUCGUCGGCUGCCUCGUUGUAGCGUCGGGCGACAUGGACAAGCUCGAGACCAUGGAAUUUGUCCUCGAGUCGACGGACUUCUUUGCAGUACAGUUCCAUUUUCGGGUCGUGGCAGCUCGAGGUUUUCAUUACUCGGUCGAUGACGAGUUGGGAGUCACCUCGGACGUCGAGGCGUCGGACUCCUAACUCGAUAGCAAUCUUGAGACCAUUGACGAGGGCCUCAUAUUCUGCGACAUUGUUAGACGCGGCAAAAUGAAUCCUGAUUACAUACCUCAUGUGGACGCCCAAGGGUGAGAUGAACAGCAGGCCGGCCCCA